rnacentral:lncRNA from 1 species
UUGUGUUUGAUCAUCUUUUAUCGGAUCGAAGGGAGGUCAAGGAGAGCAGCUUGGUGGUGUCCCAGGUUUAUAAGGUGAUUGUGGAUGCCAGGUGUAGUGAUUUGAGGAAGCUCCUCAGGAAAGGAAGGAGAUGGUGGAAUGAAUCCAGUGUAAGUUUAGAGAUCGAUUUUACUGAAAAUAGUUGCUUGGGAUGGUAGAAGAGUAUUUAAACCACUACUUUAAACACUAACCUAGCAACUAUUUGUCGGUAGAGACCAUGAAACCACGACCACACACCUAUAUAACGUAAAUCACUAAGCCAUAUAAGCAUCAGGAAACUAAGGAAAACUAAUGAAUUAAUUGCAACCACAUUUACAAUUGCAAAAUGUUUGAAAUAGUGAGGAUAGAAGUAAAUCAUACCCCAUAUCAUGUCAAAAGCUUGAUAUGAGCCUCUAGCAACAUGCUUUAUCAACAGCAUGGCAAGGGAAUGUAAUUAUAUCUAGCAAAAAGCAUGAAUAAAUUUAGAUUGAAUGGGAAGAAUAAGGGAAUCAAAGAAGAAUAAUCUAGAAGGCGAAUAAGGAAAGCCUCUGCAAAGCUUUAUGUGAUAGUUAUCACUCCUUAAAUUUGCUAUCUAAUUUUAUUUCUCUGCAUUUUCAUCUAUCUUUCUCAACCAUUUAUUUUAUCUCAGUUUGAGCCACUUCUUCUUGCAAUGUUUUUCCUUUUAUCUUUUUUUCCUAAUGUGUUAAUCUUAGUUAAGUGCUUUCAAUCCCUCACCAUUUUUUAUUCUUCCACAUUAUUUCUUCCUCAAAUUUUUUUCUUUCUCAUUGUUACUUCCCUGACUCAAUAUAUAUCCUCCAUGACAAAUUCUCCAUAACCUGAUAUGCAUCAGCUAACCUAUUUGCUCAAAUGAAUCCACUUAUGGGGAUUAUCACUAUCAAAGCACACCCACUUCGAAAAUAUCUUCUAGAAGCCUCUUAGCCUCAUCCAUGUUAAGGAGAUUUGCAAUAACAAUCCAUUAAGCUAUCAUAAGUUGCCACCACAUCCAGCCCACAAUUCUUCUUUAUCAUAGAGGUAAAGGUCAUCUAUGAUACUAUAAUAUACCAUUUCUUUUAAGAGCUUGUUGACCUGGGUCAACAAGGCUGGGAAAAAGCCAGAUACCUCUAGCUAAAACACUUUUGACUUGUCUACAUUUGCAAGUUGAAGAAAAUCCUUGAGAAGAUUUUCUUUUCUUUUUCUUUCUUUUCUUUGCUUGCACCACUUUUCUUACCUUUUUCAGUAAAGCAUGAGCUUGGAUUUGUGGUAUGACUCUUCUCAUCUGGAAGCUCAUGCACUUUUCACUUCAUUUUCAAGGGUCCUAGGUUUUCACUAUAUCAUUCCACUCCAUUUGCCAUAUCCAUCAUUCUAGAUCACUCACAAUCACAAUCCAUUCAUUCAACUAUUCUCUCCAACAUGUUUAUUUCUUGCUAUAGUUGCCCACCCAAUUUAAAUAUACUUCUCACUAAACAUACAUCAUACAUAGCAAAAAGCAGUAAAAACUAAUAUAUCAAACUUAAGAUAGGAUGUAGAUUGUCUUGAAGCAGCAAAUUUGCAUAAAUACAAGACAUGUAGCAAAUGAUUUAUGAAUGCUGGUCACACUUGAUGCACACAAGAGGCCAACCAUGAUUAUGGACAUUGUACUCAAACCCACAAACAUCAACAAUUAUGGCAAAUAGAUAGAGCCUUAUGUUGGUAGCAAUUCGAUUCAAAGAGAUGAUACUGCAGGACCAUGAUAAGAGAGAGACACUUGAUGCUUGAACGUUAGAUCCCUUGCUAUGGUGGGGUAUACGAGGGAGGAAUCAAAUGGAAGUGAAGGUCACCAAACACCAUGGAAAAAGAGGCAAAGCUGGGAGAUAUAGACCUAGAUGUUCUAAAGAGGAGAUGACCAUAGCAACCUCUCUUAGAGGGUGGAGAGCAUUCCUAGGCUGAAGGUAGUAUGAGAAUAAGAAGUAAAUAGCACCAUGGGUUUUUUAUAAUAGUUUAUAAGGGAUAUUGAUAAUGUAUAUAAUUAUUUCAUCAAACCCACAAACUGGCAUAUCAAUUGGGAAUUACACUUUAUAUAUUUGUGUUUCUUAGGUAUAGUAAUUUUCUACAUAGACAUGCAUAUUUACAAGCUUAUAAAGUUUAUUUUAAAUAUAAUUAUUUGAAGUGACAUAUUAAUAAAAACAUAGUGUGAGUGCCUAGAAUAAGAAAAGGGAAUAUAGUAAAGUGCAUAUCAAUUAGCUUAUUUAUAGGAGGGAAUGGUCUAAAUUGAAAUUCUACUAUACUAAUAUUAGUAUAUGGCAUCAUAGCCAUACAUUUGGACCACACAUCAUCCCCUCAUCUUAGAAGGGUGCAAGAUAGUCAAGGUUCUUUAGAUAAUUUAGGAUUUAGAGGAACAUUAGGAGAAGGCAUUAGUGGAUUUAUAGAUGGUGCUAGUUGUUCUUGAUCCCUUUGAUCCUUUUGAUCAACUCUAAUAACAUAAAGAAGGUCGUCCUCAAGGCUAUAUUAAGAAUGUAAAUGCCAAAACAGUAAAUCAUUAGUAAAUGAUGUAGAAUUCUCAAACCCUUUACAAAAAUUUCAAAUCCACACCUCAAUCUUUUGAGCCUUACAAACCUCAUCAAGAGAAGUUAAAUCUUACUCCACACCUUGUAAAUAUUAAACAUCAAGUAUAACAAUCACCAAUAGCAUGGAAUCUUCAUCUAAAAAAUUCAUAAAUAUUGGAACAACAAACUCAUUAGGAACAAAAUAAGAGAGUGAAAAAGGGAGAGGAACUUGACAAAGGGUAUUAUCAUUAGCUAUACAACUCCUUGAAUGAUGAACAACCUCAAAAUCAUAUAUCUGAAGCUUUAGAGUCUAUCAAACAACACUACCAACCAAAUUCUUCCAUUUUAAUAAUGAAAUAACCAUAGCAUUAUUACCUUCAAGCAACCAUGUAAAUAUGCAGCUUUUUGAAACCCUAAAUUACUAUUAAACACUCCUUUAUUGCGGAGUAAUUCACCUCUGCUAAUUGUAAUGUAUAACUAAUAUAUAUAAUGGGAUGAUGUUGAUUAAGCACUUGUACUCUAUUGCAUUAAGACACCCCCAAGAUUGAUAUCCAAGCAUCUACAUGCAAAAUGAAAGGUUGAGUGUAAUGAAGAGGAGUUGUUAAUAACUCUUUAAAAUCCAUAAAUGUUUGUUUGCGGUCUUCAAACUAAAUAAAAAAUGACAUUAACAAUUUCAGCAACAUUUGCAAUGGUGUAGUGCGAUCAGAAAGAUGAUCAAAGAAUGAUUGAAAUAUUGCAUAUUACUCAAAAAGUGUGCACAUCAUUCACACACUAGGGAAUUUGAAAUAAACACAAGUUUGUUAGGAUCAUGAAAAAUAUAGUAUCUAAGAUAAGUUAUGUUUUUGGACCUAAACACGCAUUUUAACCACUUUAGCUUUAUACCAACUUCCUGCAACUAAUUUAACACUUUCCAAAUAUCACAAAUAACAUCACUAAUAGUACUAUAGUAUAUGAACCAUCUAUUUGGGAUUAAAUCUAGUCUAUCUAUUUUUUUAUGGAAGAAAUUAAUAUAUUCCAAGCACUCAUAUUGGUGGAAGUGAGGGCAUCGCAAUUUGUACCUAAAGAGCAAAAUUUAUUAGUAAUGCUUUGCUUUAGUGUUUGAGAUUAUGCUUUUUGUUAUUAUUUCUUCAUUCUUUUUUAGAUUUAGAUCUAUAUUAGAUUUUUGCAAGAUUUAGAAUUCUAGUUAUCACUGUGCUUAGACUUGUUUUUUCUUUUGAUCUUUAUUGCAUUUUUUUCUUCUACCAUAUUACCCUAUCAUCAAUGAAAGAGUAUAUCACUUGAGGCUGUUGAUGUUACUUCGUUAAAUUGAGCUUUUGGUGCUAUAAGGUGUGAUUAUGUUAAUGUUGCACGCAUCUUUGAUGUGUUAUCAUUUCCAACUUUCGUGGGAUGUGAUUAUAUGGCUUGUCCUAUUCUUAAUGUUCUACCAUCUCUCAUUGAUGUGAAGUGUGAUCGUGACAUCAAUUAACAAGCUAUAGAUGAUGUAGUUUGAUUUUUGAAGAAUAUUCAAAAAUUGAGUUUUAUGUAAAGACGAUGUUUACAAGCUUGAAUGGAUUUUGGAUUGUGAUGAGGAACUUGAUUAUUAUGGAGGUAGCUUUGGAGAUGAAUUUAAGAUUUCACAUAUCAAUCUUUCAAUUUGCCAUUUAAUCCUUUUUCUUUACCUUCUAUUCUUUCUUAACUUUUUCUUAUUUCUCAGCCUGAGCCACUUAUUCGUUCCUCAUCUGUAAUGUUUCCUUUUUAUUGCAUAUUGGUCAUUUGUGACUUUUAUGAUUCUCAUUCUUAAUUUAGUGUUGAAUUAAAUAUUUUUUAUCCUCAUAUUAAUCUAGAUUUCAAGCAUAUGUGGGAAGUUGAGUGUUUCUUUAGCAAAGUCUUUAAUCAAUUUUAAUAUAAAGUAUUAUCUUAUUUGAAAGGUUGAGUAAUUUUGGCUAAAAGUUUGGGUUCNNNNNNNNNNNNNNNNNNNNNNNNNNNNNNNNNNNNNNNNNNNNNNNNNNNNNNNNNNNNNNNNNNNNNNNNNNNNNNNNNNNNNNNNNNNNNNNNNNNNNNNNNNNNNNNNNNNNNNNNNNNNNNNNNNNNNNNNNNNNNNNNNNNNNNNNNNNNNNNNNNNNNNNNNNNNNNNNNNNNNNNNNNNNNNNNNNNNNNNNNNNNNNNNNNNNNNNNNNNNNNNNNNNNNNNNNNNNNNNNNNNNNNNNNNNNNNNNNNNNNNNNNNNNNNNNNNNNNNNNNNNNNNNNNNNNNNNNNNNNNNNNNNNNNNNNNNNNNNNNNNNNNNNNNNNNNNNNNNNNNNNNNNNNNNNNNNNNNNNNNNNNNNNNNNNNNNNNNNNNNNNNNNNNNNNNNNNNNNNNNNNNNNNNNNNNNNNNNNNNNNNNNNNNNNNNNNNNNNNNNNNNNNNNNNNNNNNNNNNNNNNNNNNNNNNNNNNNNNNNNNNNNNNNNNNNNNNNNNNNNNNNNNNNNNNNNNNNNNNNNNNNNNNNNNNNNNNNNNNNNNNNNNNNNNNNNNNNNNNNNNNNNNNNNNNNNNNNNNNNNNNNNNNNNNNNNNNNNNNNNNNNNNNNNNNNNNNNNNNNNNNNNNNNNNNNNNNNNNNNNNNNNNNNNNNNNNNNNNNNNNNNNNNNNNNNNNNNNNNNNNNNNNNNNNNNNNNNNNNNNNNNNNNNNNNNNNNNNNNNNNNNNNNNNNNNNNNNNNNNNNNNNNNNNNNNNNNNNNNNNNNNNNNNNNNNNNNNNNNNNNNNNNNNNNNNNNNNNNNNNNNNNNNNNNNNNNNNNNNNNNNNNNNNNNNNNNNNNNNNNNNNNNNNNNNNNNNNNNNNNNNNNNNNNNNNNNNNNNNNNNNNNNNNNNNNNNNNNNNNNNNNNNNNNNNNNNNNNNNNNNNNNNNNNNNNNNNNNNNNNNNNNNNNNNNNNNNNNNNNNNNNNNNNNNNNNNNNNNNNNNNNNNNNNNNNNNNNNNNNNNNNNNNNNNNNNNNNNNNNNNNNNNNNNNNNNNNNNNNNNNNNNNNNNNNNNNNNNNNNNNNNNNNNNNNNNNNNNNNNNNNNNNNNNNNNNNNNNNNNNNNNNNNNNNNNNNNNNNNNNNNNNNNNNNNNNNNNNNNNNNNNNNNNNNNNNNNNNNNNNNNNNNNNNNNNNNNNNNNNNNNNNNNNNNNNNNNNNNNNNNNNNNNNNNNNNNNNNNNNNNNNNNNNNNNNNNNNNNNNNNNNNNNNNNNNNNNNNNNNNNNNNNNNNNNNNNNNNNNNNNNNNNNNNNNNNNNNNNNNNNNNNNNNNNNNNNNNNNNNNNNNNNNNNNNNNNNNNNNNNNNNNNNNNNNNNNNNNNNNNNNNNNNNNNNNNNNNNNNNNNNNNNNNNNNNNNNNNNNNNNNNNNNNNNNNNNNNNNNNNNNNNNNNNNNNNNNNNNNAUGAUAGCUUAUUGUGUCUACCAAACACCCUUGCUAUCAUACCUUUUUGUGUUAGUCUCAUUUUGCUCUUAAAUACUAUUUGUGGGAAGUGUUUAGAUUCGCUUAUUUGGCAUAUUUACGGAAUGUAGAGAUUGGCUUGAACACGAUGGUGUUCAUCCCGUGUCCAAAGUCACAAUCUAGGAAUAUUCUAUAUUUAGUAACUUUCGAGCUUAUCCCAGAGACUAACUCUUGGUACUAAGGGAAGCUUGGGGUGAAAGCCCAAAACAUGUGUUCUUCAAGGGGGCGGGGGGGGAGGGUCGGGGAGAUUGUGGGGGGUUCCAAAUGUAUAGUAGGGAUAGUGGUUGGAAUGCAUAUUCAACUAUCUGAGACAUUAGUUUGGCACCUAUUAGGUUGUGUCAUUCCUUAUUUUGCGUCUGGCUUAGGUCUAAGCCUAAGCCCCAUGCUGUUCUAGUCAGUGGGGUACCUUCCUCCUCAUGUUAGGCCACUGAUAUGCCAAAAUUGUGCCAGACUCUGUCUGACACCAUUUUGCAUGCAAGUGUUGGAUACGAGGAGCUGGUUCUCAUGGGAUCGUACCGGACCUUCGUUUCGUACCGCAAUGGGCUUAGAGUUCAGCUCCAAAUUCAGGUGCGCUAGAUUUGGUAUCAGAGGAAUUGUUUCAGUGAUUCCUAUCCAACUUUUGUCGGAUUUUCUGACUCAAGUUGCAUAUACAAAGACUUUUCUAGUAGAUUUGAAGCGACCUAUGUAGGAUUAGUUAGAUUGCACCAUUCGGUAAGAACGUUGUAUGCAUAUUCAAUUACUGAUAGAGGCAUGCAUGCAACUAGUGGGAUGGUGAAAAGGAACCGUGUUGAUGACACUAAAACCUUUAAACGGGCGAAUUGAGAGGAGGAAUCUCCUGCUAGAGAUGUUGUAGAAGAAGCAGAGACCGAGUCAGAAGAGGAAGAGCCAGAUGCUGCGGCACUGCAGCAUAUGGCUUAGGAAAUUGAGAUCGAGAAUUUACGAAUGGAAGUUCACAAAUUGAAAAAGGGGAACAAGAAGAGGAAGAAAGAAGCUGAAGCGGCUAAACCAGCUAAACCUAAGCAACCAGACUCCUCCUCAAGUUCUGAGGAUGAUGAAGUUCUGCAACCACCCCCAGUUGCAUGAGUUUCAAAGUUCAAACCUCCAAAACCACUCAAUUUCAGAGGCAUGUGGGACUAUCAGGUUUUGAAAGACUGGGUCUACAAUAUGGAAAACUAUUUCAUAGUGGUACGAAAGUUGCAUGCACGCAAUCCUUUCUUAUCGAUCAUGCCAAAAUUUGGUGGCGCCAGGUGUGUGCUGAAAAAGGGCAAACUAGAAGUUAGACCAAGAUGCGGUCUCAUAUCCGUAAGGAAUACUUGCCGGAUGAUCUUGGUUUGAGACUUCGCACAGAGCUACGGUAGUUAAAGCAAUGAGGGGAUCUCAUGCAUUACGUUAAUGCAUUUGCUCAGAAGUGCAUUAUGAUUACAAAUAUGAGUGACAAAGAUGCUCAAAGUUAUUUCCUAGAGGGUUUACGUUCACUUUCUCAUAAUGAGAUUUUGAAGUUUAAGCCAAAGACGUACCUGGAGUGUAAGGAGGCAGCACAACAAAUUGCCUUUAGUCACUCGCUCAUGGAACAAUAUCAAUAACUGUAUGCUAGUACUUCAGACAAGAACAAAAAUUCUGGGAAUAAACAAGGUGAUUGGAAACAAAGGGUGGAAGGCAGGUUCCACUCUAAAGGCUCAUAAGCAACAGUUAACAAAGGUGGUGGUGGUUGGAGACCACUAACAGCUUCUUCUGGUCCUAGGCCUUCUGUUCCUCCUCCUGUAUAAGUAGCAGCAAUUGGCAAAAGCUGCUCCUAGUGGAAUAGGUAGUGUGGGUCAUUGCUUCCAUUGUGGAGAGUCGGGAUAUAGGUCCUCGAAAUGUCCCAACAAGCAUAAGACAAAGUUUCAUGUUAAUUUCAUGAGGGAAGACAGUGGUGGUGAAGCUGAAGGGGUUGACGAGUUGGUCAAUGCAGACUAUGAGGAAGAGGAGAUGAGCCACUUUUGUUGCUUUCCUCAAGUUUUUCUCACAAUCAAUGCAAACACUGAUCUGUUGAUGUAUCUAAUAGGCUUUAUCCGUGGACACCAAAUCCAAGUAAUGAUUGAGACCGAAGCUAUGCACAACAUGAUAUCUGAAAACUUAGUUAAGUUGUUAAGAUUGAAUGCUGAGCAAAUGUCACCCAUACACUUUUAGUUUGCGGAAGGUGGGCAAGUAGCCAGAAAAUUUGUGAGUGAUGUUCCAAUAAAAAUAUCCAAGUGAAAGGAAAGAGUGUUCAUAAGAAUUGGCCAACAAGUAUCUUUCGAUACCCGAAGUCACAUUCGUGACAACUUUUCUAUUAAUUUUUUUUUUUUUUUAUCUCUAGUGUUGAAUUGUGUGUUGAGGAAGUUGAGUGGUAUAAAUUUCUUACUUAUCUCGUGCUAGCCAAAGUAUUUUAUCAUAGUAGAUCCUUUGUUUUCCAAGUUUUGAACAUGUCUCCUUAUUUCCUCCCCAUUUUUACUUUAAUAAUUGCUGAAAAUUCCUCUUUUGAAUUUUACUUCUUUAUCCACUUUCUCUUCUUCCACAAUAUUUUUUCCUCUCUUUUUAUCUCUUUAUCCUUUUUUCCCUGACAUUUCAAACUUUUUUUUCUUUGGAGGAGGGGGUAGAGGGGAUGGACAAGAGUCCAACCUCAACAAUGGAGUAAAGAUGAGUGGAUACAAUAGUAGAGCAAAGACAAAUGAUAUAGAUUGUAGAGUAAAGACAAACAUAAAGAGUUUGAAUAUAAUAUUCAACCUUGAUAUAAUAAGGCCAAAUGAAUGUGAUAGUGGAAUGAGACUAAACAUAAAUGGUAGAGUAAAGAUGAGUGCAACGAGUUUGAACAAAAUCAGUGCUUCAAAAAAAAAAUUCCUUCGAGGAAGAGAUAAAGAGGAUGUGGAGGACGAAUAAAGUAAGUCCAACCUCCCAUGUGUAGUGUUGGACGAGGAUGAUAGUUAUGAGUUUAAGUUAACAUAGGUUUUGGAUGUUGACCGAAGGGAAAACCCGAAAAUAAGUUUUGCUUAUAGUUAUAAGUCCAAGUUACUAAUGGUCUUGGAAGAUUAUAUAUAUAUAUGUAUGUGUGUGUGUUUAUAUAUACAUACCUUAGCUAAGUAAUACACUAAUUAUAUUACUAUAGCAUAUGGACCAUCUAUUUAAAAUUAAAUCUGAUCCAUCCAUUCUUGUAUAUAAGUAGAGGUGUAAACCCAAAUUAAUAUAUCUAUUCCCAUAUCCUAAGCACUCACACUAUUUUCUCCUUUUUUCAUAUUUUUCAAGCAUUUAUUUUGUCUCAACCUGAGACAUCUUCUUGUUAUAGUGUUUUUUCUUAUGUGCAGUAUUUUCUUUUCCUAGCAUAUUAAUCUCUUGUAAUUUAUAAUUUUUCUUCUUUAUCAAACUUCCUUGACUCAAUACACAUGUCUUCCAUGACAAGUCCUCCAUGACCCAGUAUGAAUUCACUAACCUAUUUGCUCUAGUGAAUCCAUCAAUGAGGAUUAUUGCCAUUUACCCACUUCUAGACAGCCUCUCAACCUUAUCCAUGUUGAAGAACUUUGCAAAAUCAAUCUAUUAAACACCUAAUUCUUCUCUAUCAUCUUCUUCAUAUUAAAACAUUGUUUUACCUUUGUUGACCUAAGUCAACAAACUUUUAAAAGAGCACAUGGUAUCAUAUACUAGAAAAAGUGUACAAGCAAAGAAAAGAAAGAAAAACAAAGGAAAAGAGAGGUAAAGAUCAUGAUAUUAUAAUAUCAGCAUUGGAGAAAGCAUGAGCUUGGAUUUUUACCUUAAGGUGGUAGCAACUCCUUUCAUCUAGAAGUUUAUGCAUUUUUCAGUUCUUAUGAAAGAUCAAUACAUGGAUAAUAUCAAAAUCAUAUAUUAGAGUCUUAAUUAUCAAUGAAUAAAUCUUAGAUUAGAACACAAAAGUAUUCCAAGUAAGUUAUCAUCCGAUAAACUAGAAGUAUAGUAUAGAAACCACCAAGAUCAUCAUAAUUGAUAAAGACAUGAGUCAUUAUCCAACAACAUUCAAUAGCAAGUACAUCAUCAAGUAAACUCAAUGAAAAAACUUAACUACCAAAGAUUGUAGAUAGUAUACCAAACAAGUUACCAAAAACAUCUCAAGGAACACAAGUAUCAUUGACUGGCAAGCAAAAUGCUCGCAAAUGUAUUACUCGAAGGAAAUAACAUCCAAAUCUAUUAUAACUAACUCAAGCAACAAUUAACAGAAUAAAAUGAAUGUUGCAAAACUAACAAACAUUCAUUCAUGCCAACUAUCACACUAGCCAAUCUAAAUAGAUCUUGAUCAAUAAUACCAAGGAACCAAAGUUGCUUAAGCAAGGUUUUUAGGUUUUCACUAUAUAAUUUCACUCUAUUUGCCAUCUCCAUCAUUCUAGAUUAUUCACAGUCACAAUCCAUUUAUUCAAUUACUCUCUCUAACACUAUUUAUUACUUGUUAUAGUUGCCCACCCACUUUACACACACUUCUAACUAUGCAUACAUGCUCUUAUUUGCACAAAUCCAAAACACUUAGUGGUUGAUUUAUGAAUACUAGUCACACUUAAUGCACACAAGAGACCAACCAUGACUAUGGGCACACAUUGUACCCAAACCCACAAAUUGGGGAUUAGGUAUAGUAAUUUUCUAUGUAGACAUACAUAUUUACAAGAUUUAUAUCAAAGCUUUAUUUUAAGUAUAAGUAUUUGAAGUGACUUACUAAUAAAAAAUAGAAUUUUAAAAUAAUUUCUUCAUUUAAAUAUUCUUAUAUUCUCAUAGAUGAAAACUUUAACUUAAAUAAUGAAAUAAUAAUUAUUUACUUUAAAAUUAUCUAUCUAAUACAUCAAUAUGAUCUUAUAAUAAUAAAUAUAAAAAUAAACUAUAUGAAUUUAAUAUUACACUUACUAGAAACAUUAAUGAAAAGAAAGUUACAAUAACUACCAUAUGAAUGUCCUACAAAAAACUUAUAUAUUUGAAUAUAGAAUUAAGAAAAACUAAGGAAGUUUGAACAACAUGUAUUUCAAGAAUUUGGUUUUAUAUGUUUUAAUUUGAUAUUCAAGUUGUGUUAUUGAGAAAUGUUAUACACAUAUUUGACAAUGAAUUCUUUGCAUCAUAGUAGCUUUAGAUAGAAAGAAGAUGUAUAAAUUUACAAAUGGGGGGUAAAGAUGUAUUUGAAGAUGUAUUAGUAUGACAAGCUCGUUGUUUAUAAAAAUUUUGACGUGUUCAACAACUAAAGCUUGAUAUAUGGUAUAAAUACAUGUGUUAAUUGAAAUUUAUGAAUUAUUAAAAAAUUAUGAUAUUCAAACUAUUUUUGGAUGACUUUUUAAUAAUUCUAUAUUAUUGAUAAUACUGACUAAAUUCUAAAGUAGGAUAGUCACAUAAUAAAAAUCAUGUUGCAAAGCUUUAAGAUGUUCCUAAUAUUUUUUAAAAUAUUAAUGUUUAUAAAAUAUAAAAAACAUAUAAUAUUGUAAGCUCUGUAGUAUAAAAGAUGGUUAGCUACUGUCUUAUAAUUUAAUUCUUCAUACUAUUACUUAUUUAUUUUAAUCCAUUGGACUGUUUUGAUAACAUUUUUAGUCUAUGGUAUCCUUAUGGUUUUAAUCACUAUCAGAGGCACCUGUCCAAGCAAGAUCAAGACUGCAAUUGCUAAUUGAAUUUGAAAAUGACUCCAAGAGAAAACAUUAUGAAGUAAUCCAAACUUUUUCCUUGUUAUAUCACUCAUAUAUUGUUCUUCAAACUCCUCUCUCCUCACCUCAACUCUUUUUUACUUCUAUACUUCUUUCUUAUUUUCCUCUUUCUUCCCUUUAUAAUUUUUACUUGUACUUUUAAUGCUCAACCAAAUUAUCAUUCUCAUAAGCCUCUAUCCACUAACUAAGUUUUUCCUCUCUUUUGUUCUUUUUAUUGGUGUCCCUCUUUUCAAGCUACACUAUUCUUCCUUCAAACUCCUAAGAUUUUCUUAUCUAAUUUUUUUAUUUUUUUAAUUAUUUUUUCUUUUAUCUUUAUGUGUUUGCCUUAUGUAACUUUAUUUUUCUUUAUAUUUAGAUUAUUUUUAUUUAUUUAUUUUAAUUUUUUGUUUCAAUUUAUUUUUUCUUGCUUAUCACUUCUACUUGUUUUUGUAGACGAAGAAAUGUAAUAUUUUGUAAAAUAGUAUUUGAGAUCUAGAUAAAGUACCAAACUUAGAUGUUUUGAACUUAAACACUUAAAGCUUUUCUACUAAAUGAAUCAAGAUAAAUAAUUUGCAUUUAUGUUUUCUAUUAAUGAUUUUCAUAAAUAUAUUCAUAAAAUCUCUUUGUUAUUCAAGCACUGCUAGUGAACAUUGUUAUGUAUAUAAUCGGCAUUUAAGAAUUACAAAUGGUGAGUAUUGUCGUGCUUCAAUAGAUAUGUUAAAUGAAUGGACUAGAAAUCCAUACAGAGUAACUUAUACUCACUACUCUCAAUAUCUUAUUUUUGAUUUAGUAAUAACAUCAUCUCAGGAUAUUGUAGAAACUAGAAGUGAUAUUAUACAAGCUAUAAGAUUUAUACAAAGAAAUUGUAUUAGACAUCAAAUAGGGGGUUAUGUUCAACUUAUAAAUCGGUCUCUAUAUUUAUCAGUACAAAUAACAUCCAUCUGAAUUAAAUUCAUUACAAGACUAGAAAAUCAUUAAUUGGGAUAUUUAUUAAAGUUAUUUAUCAUUAGACUCAAACAGUUUCAGACAUUUUCUUGCAAGAUAUCAAGAGAUAUAAUAGAUCAAUAAGGAUUCUUAGCAAUAGAUAUUGAAGUAUUUCAAUAAAUAAAUAGAAUAUAUCUUUGUAUGGUAUUUAAAAAUAUAUUAUCUGUAUUUAUUAUUAGAUCAAUAUGCAACUGAUAUUCUUUGGAAUAUACUUAGGAAUGCCCUAAAUUUGUAGUAGGCGCCAUGGUGCUGCGGUGCGCCCUCCUCCAGCUCCAAUCAUCCGCAUUUCGGCGCUAUGCCACUGUAAGUACCUCACAUCGCAUCACAGCGCUUUAUCCUACGAGAUAUCGAGCGAGGCAGCAGCAUUUCAGCACAGGCCUGAGCUCCGGCACAAGCGCCACGGGUGGAUUUCCUUCUCCUUCCCCGGUCUCGGACGAGCACUCCCUGAGUGUGGCUAGUAUGACGAUCGCUUUCGACAGGGCGCUGCUGGAGCGGCGAACGGAGGAUGCUGUGUUUGCGGUAGAUGGGCUUAGAAGGAAAGGCUCGUUUCCAAGCCGGGAUAGUCUCAGCACUCUGAUAUCGCAGCUAGCCUACAAGCAGACACCGCUCAGUCUUUCCCAGGCUGAUAGAUUGAUCCAAGACUUGGUGGCGUCGCGCAGAGAGGAUCUCUUGGAUCAAAACAGCCUCUCGCUUCUAGCGCUCGCCUACGCCGGCGUUGGCAUGGCCAACUUCUCUCGGUCGACUUUGCGGCUCAUGUUCCAGACCGGGCUCUAUCCUCCGGUGAGAGUCUGGACAGCGGUGGUGAGCAAGAUCGCCGAGAGUUUCUCCGAGGCUCCAGCGGCCCUGGAGCUUUUCAAAGAGAUUUGCAAGCUCACGGGUGGGACUGUGGACGCGAGCAGUAGAGAGCCGUGUAAGAUGGUGGAGGAGCCGGACCCGGUGGCCAGGAUCAUCAAGUUGAUGGACUUUGCAAUGAUGCCGAAAGGCAACGAGGAGCUCUUGGUUUCGAUGAGGCCGGACGUCACGUCGUUUAACUCGGCUCUCCGGAUCUGUGCGACGCUGGCCGACACGCAGAAUGCCGAGGAGAUUUUCCACAGCAUGAGCUUGUUUGGUGUGCUUCCAAACAGCGACUCGUUUGAGCUGCUUAUCAAGGUUUAUGGGAAGGCCAGGCGAUUCGACUUGUUCCGGAAGGUUCCACAGAGAAUGGAGGCUGCCUGCGUCAGGCCCAGUGCGUCGACUCUCAAGGCUCUCAUCGACGCUUAUGUGGAGUCGGGCAACAUAGAGGAGGCCGAGAAGGUUUUGCAAAAGACGGUGCAAGGGAAGAGCAGCUUGUGGAACCUUGUGAAGCUGGAAGGAGACGUCUACAACAGCUUACUCAAGGCGUAUGCGUUAGAAGCGAGGCUGAGCGACGCUGCCAACCUUUUGAGCAGCGUGCCUCUCGAGGACGCAGGGACGGGGCUGGAUCAAGCCAGAGUCGUGGCGAGCAUGAUAGCGUCGGGAAUGCUCAAGGAGAUUUGCUCCAUUCUUCAGUACAUGCUACAGCACCGGAUGGAAGUCUCGUUCUCGGCCUACAAGUCGCUAAUGCACGGGUUCUGCGCCAACAAUCAGCUGGACAAGGCGGCGAGCUUUAUAAUCCUGAUGAAGAGAGCCGGGAUCAAGCCCGACUGUUCCAUCUACGGCCCUCUCAUCCAGGGACUCGUGAGGUGCCGAGACAGGCUACUCGCUUAUCACACGUUUCUGGAGAUGGUCGAGGCGAGAAUCGUUCCAGACGAGGCAACUUACGUCUCCUUGCUGAAGGCCUUGACGGUGGAAGAGCGAGCGAGCAAGAUGGUUAGAGUGCUGGAGGCGGUGAUGGAGUUCCCGAGCGUCAAGAUCAGCCUCUUCUCCUGGAACUUGGUGAUCGAGUACUGCUCGAAGAAGAAGCUGAUAGGGGACGCGCAGAGGAUGCUGGCUAGGAUGGCUCCGGCGGGUGUUCAGCCGGAUAGCUACUCGUACUGGUACGUUGUCAAGGGGCUGAUCACGCGGAGCCGGCUGACAGACGUUCUGGGACUUUGGCCACAGAUACAGUUUGCAUCGAGGAGAGAUCGGCCAAACAGGAUAAUCCUCCACAAGCAGCUCGUGGAGACGCUCAUGUAUGCGUUCGUGAAGGGUGCCAACUUCGCCCAAGCGCUGGAGCUUCUCGAGUAUGCCAAAGAGGAGGACAUCCCACUGGACAGGGAAGCGUUCAAGGACUUGUUCCUCAAGUACCACUCGCAUCGUUUCACCAGCAAGCACAAGUCUCCGUUGAGAGUUUACGGGCGCCAGCAGCAGCUCCUGGAGAUGGAGGAGUUUAAGAAGUGGCUCAGCCUCGGUGCGGUCAAAACUCCUGCUCGCUAUGCUAAGUACGUAAUCCAUCUUUGUUUUUUUAAUUUGUUGUUUGCUUGGUUGCUUAUUUCUUUGUUGGACUUUGAGCAGGAUUCUGAAAUAUGGACCAUUCAAACGCGAUGAAGGGCCGUUCUUUUAAAAUUGUAAAUAUGUUUCUGGCAUCAGAAGUAGGGAGUCUGGCUAUUAUCUGAGAGGAGGAGGAGGAGAUGGUGGAAUGCACUCAAGCUCUUUCGUUUGGUUCAUGUGAAGUGAGCAGAUUGAUAAGUCCUUCAAUUUAAAGGAUAACUCUGCAAACUCGAAAAAUGGAGAAUGAAUGGAGAAUGACACUACUGACAGCACAGGAAGAUUUUGUUCAUUACAGAACUUGUCUUGGAGAAUAUGUUGUACAAGUGAGCAUGAGGUUGUUGGCAUUGAUGGCAUUCCAAGUCCCAGCCACAAAUACUUUAGUCAUCCUCACAUGAGCAUGACUAAGAGCAUGCAUGGCUCAUACUCUACUCUAUGUAAAGACUCAAUCUAUAUGGCACAAAUGGGUAACAAACUCAUUUUUUAUUCUAACUUUUGUGUUAUUAUUAAUGUUAACACUGGUGCAAUCAUAAUAACAGCUCCAAGAGAGUAAUCUUUAUUACUUGGGGAAUGAACAAUUCAAUCUUGCCACUGCCAACAAAAACAACACUGAAAUAUGGCAUUUAAGAGUUGGCUAUUUAAGUCUUAAAGAGUUUAAAAACUUUUGAAGGCAUGGUGACAAGCCUAACUCUUCCUAUUUCUUCCACUAUCAGCUUGUGAAGCUUGUGUUUUGGGGAAGUAACAUGGAAAAUCUUUUACCGAAGAAGACGAAGAAGAAGAAUAAGAAAAAGAAGAAGAAGGGUGAGCGGGUGGUCGGUGGGUCAUCACGAAGAGGGCUCCUGGCUGGUGGCCUCCCCUCGAUGUCGAGCCACUCUGAUGCUGGGAUGGACACGACGGGUGCUGCUCUCUGUCCGGGGCUGUAUAUGGUGAUGGGUGGCAGCAGUGGCAGUGCAUGAUUGGUUCAUAUGCUAUUAACCCCUUAGAGCUAAUUAAAAAAGAUUUUCUAGAGAUUACUUUACAGCUUCAUAUCCACUUGUCAUAGGCAAAAAUUCCAUGAAAAAACAAGUGACAAAGAAAGAAAAAAUUUGGUGCAUGAUCACAUGGUUGAGUUGUCUUUAGCUCUUUUUUUUUCAUAUCACUGAUGAAAAGUUGUAUUCUUAUAAAUCAUGUAGCCCCUUUUAAUUUUGGAUUUCCAUUUUUCUACAAUCACCAUUAGCCAUUCUCCUCAAACAAUUGCCAAGGCCUUUUCAUUAAAAGUGUCACUAGCACUAGCUUAUAUCCAGACACUACAACACGAGCACAUUUCUUGAGAAAUCCUUGUCUAGAUCUUUAUAUUGGAUUUGUGAACUGGUCAGAAGCAUCAAUCAUGGGUAAUGCUGAUAUAACCACAAAAUAAAUUAGAACCAUCAAAAAUUAAAACCAAAUGGCAAACCAAAAAACCAAACACUCAGUUAAUUAAGAUAAUUCAAACUUUUUGGGAGAAAUAAGAAUGCAAGGCUUAAUAAGAAAAAUGAAUAUUUUUUAAUUUUUUUUUGUAUUCUAUGUAUUUACAGAUGUUCUGUAUUGUUUUCUAAAGUUAAAUUUCACUUUCUUUCUUUUUCUUUUAACGUUUUUUAUUUAAAUUUUUCUCUUCUAAUACAUAUUUUAUACACCUUUAUUUAUUAAUUUAUUAAUUACAUUUUUAUUUUUAUUUUUAUAUUUUAAUAUAUAAAUAACAUGGCAGUAAGGAUUAAUAAAGGCUUAACUUUGUGAUUUAUUAGCUUAAAAUUACAUGCCAUUAGUGUUAAAUAUUAUAAAUAAUGAUUAAAAGUUUUUAAAUAAUAUGUGUUAUAAUAUUUUAUUUUUAUUUUAUGUAUAUAAUUUUAUAAAAACUUUUGGAUACUCCAGCCUGCUAUAGAAUCUUGUUAUACAAAUUGUUAAUAUUCAAGAAUUAGUAACAGUGAAUAUUGUAAUGUUUCAACAUGUAUGUUAGCUCAAUGAACUAAAGAUCUAUUUAGAAGAAGGUAUAGAGAAAACUUUUUAAAUCUUAGACUUGUUUUAGUAACAUUAACAAGAGCAACUUGUCAUCUUAUAAAAACUAGAAGUGACAUUGAACAAGCUAUAAGAUUUAUAAAAAUAAAUUGUAUUAAAAAUAAUUUAGGGGGAUAUGUUAGACUCAGAAAUCGAUCAUUAAUUUUAUCAGUAGAAAUAACUCCUUUUCAAUUAAUUAUGCUACAAGAUCAAGAUUUUAAUUUCACAUGAAUACAUUUCUUAUAUUAAUAAUUAUAAACAAUGACACAUACUUGUAUCUUAUAUAGGAUAUUUGUGAACUGCUAACCAUUAAGUAGAUUGAUAGUUUAUAAAAUCUUACUAUUAGUUAAAUUGAUAGUUUGUGAAGUCCCACAAUUGUGCAAAUUGAUAGUCUCUCUUUACUAUAGUGUAGCAUAUGUAAUGUAUAACUUAAUUUUUGGUAAAUAAUGAUAAUUGAGCUUUUAUGGUGUAAGUGUUACAUAUACUGAGGUAAAACCAAAAUUAUGAUUCAAUAUUGUACAAAAUUAAAUAUGUGUAAAGGUUUAUAAUAUAUAUUUUACUAGACUAAGUUUGCAUGCACUACCAAAUAACUAAUGAUUCACAUGUUUUACCUUUGACCUAUUUUUAAAUAUUUCAAUGAAAAGUGAGUCAGCUAGAAUUCCUAAUGACAGCAAAUGUACAAAUUAGAAGUUUGUGAGGCACAUCCCAUGCAAUUGAAAUAAAUGCAAGUUGUUAUUGCCUCAUUGUUAGAAGUUCUUGCAUCUAUAAGCAACAUUAAAUUAGACAAAUAGUACUAAUUUAAUGAGCCUAUUUAAAUUUUAUAAUUUAAUAAUGCUAAAGUUAUGUCAUUUGGGCUAAUCCUAAUGUUAGAAAUUCUUAACAUUAAAAUCAUUAAUUAAAACAUUCAUUUAAGAGUUUUUACAGCCUUCCUUCCUUUUCAUUGGGAGGUGGUGGUCCAUUCAUGGGGCCACCAUAAGCAUUGCACAAACACCUAUAAUAGGCAUCUCAUUGGGCUAAAUUCAUGACACUAAUGCACUUUUAUGGGUCAGCCCUACCUCUAGCUUGCUACCAAACUACCAUAGGUGUGUAGAAGAAGGUGGAUUGGUUUUUUUUUUUUAAAUCUCCCUCUGGGGAGCUGAAAUAUAGAGGUGUAAUAUGUCUAAAAUUUGUGUAUAAAAAGGUUUUAUAUAUAUAUAUAUAUAUAUAUAUAUAUAUAUAUAUAUAUAUAUAUAUUAGCUAAAUGGAACUACUUUCACUUUCCAUUAAUAACUACCAAUCUAAAAAUAAUAGCCUCAAAGCUAUAAUAUUAAUAAGAUAUUCUUCUAAUAGAUUAUACCUGCAUGCUGAAUAAGAAAAGAAGUGAACAUCAACAGUUAUAAAAUAAACAAUAUUAACAAGAGAACCAUAAUUUUUAUGCUUCUCAUCUAACAAAUUAAAUUAACUUUAAAUUUUAUUUAUUAUCCUAUUUUAAUGAUAAAUUAAGUAGUAUUAACUCAUAGAUUAAUAUUUGACCCUAAGUACAUUUAUGUAUGUAAAACAUAGAACUUGGCCUAUAAAAUUAACCUAAAAUAAGUUAAUGUAUGUUCAAAUGCUUCAAUGGCCUUUGCCAUGGAAUUGUCCACGACUUUCUGGAUGAAAUCAAUGUCUUUGCCUUGCUUCUUAAGAACCAAUGCAAGGCUCUGUCAAGAGCAAGAAAGAAAGAAACAAAAAAUCACUUCUUGCAAACAAAAAUGCUCUCUGAAGCUUACCUGGAAUGCUCUAAGGAACAGAGGAUCCACCUUUAUGGCAUCUUCAAACUCCUUGAGAGCAUUGUCCAAAUCUCCAAUGUACUCGUAAGCAUGGCCAUAGAUGAAUCUAAACUUUAACUAUGACAGAUACAUGUUGAUGAGCUUGGAAAGGACCUUGAUCACCACUCGCAUGUCCUUAUUUAGCUCUAAACUUUAAUUUUUAUAAAUUUCAACCAAAAAUUUUAAUUACGCCUAAUAUACUUCAAUUCACUAAUUUAAUUUAAGUGAAAAGGUUGAAGGAAUUAUAUGUUUUAAGUGAUCAUACUAAUAGUCAUCUUUGUUCUUCAUGCUCAAAGAAUAGACAAGUCCUUGUAGAAGCAUUACUAGUAUGAUUAUUUGGGUAGUGGUGAGUUUGAUCAAAUGGUGAUGAUGAGGAUUGUUUGCUGAUGCUCAUGCUCAUGCUCAUAGAAGCACUCCAUGGAAGUUUGGAGAAAUGCAUGGGUUUUUAUACAUGGUGGUGGUGAAAGAUUGCUAGUGGCACUACUCUAGAGGGAUCAAGAUGGCACCAAUAACACUAAAAGAUCUACUUACAUAGGCCACUAUGGUUGAUAUCACUUUAAGUUGAGCAUUGCCUCUUUGUCCUUAGACGGGGUAAGCAAUAGAACCAAGAACAUCCCAAAUCUCUUCAGCUGCUUCAUAGUUAUAGAGGCCAUCAACUUAGAGAAUAAUAAAACAAACAAAAUCUAGCUAAGCCAUAAACCCAAGAUCCAAAAAAAGGCAGAUGUCUAUCUUUAUCUUUGAGUUCUAGCUUUGAUUUUCUAAUUAUAAUACAAUUUCAAAAUAAAGAUUCUUCAAAUAAAUCUACUAAAUUGAAAGUAGUUCAAUUUAAAAUUGUCAUUCAAAUUGCAAAGUGGCAAAAUCAAGCCAUUAAAAAUACUCAUGCAAUGACUAACAAAUGUGUCCUUAACAUAAAAGCCUUACCUGGUUCAUUAAAGAAUACAAAGGAGCUUAGAAUCAAAGAGGACUUUGAGCCACAUGCUUUCAUGGUAGACUCUAUGCUAUGAAAGGGGUUUAUUGCUAUUGACCCCAAAGGAAUUCUGACAUAGGGCAACUACAUAGAAGAGUCAUAUUUUGAAGUAUUAAUUUGGAAUAUGCAUAGUGAUGUAAAUGUGGAUCCCUAAUCAUUAUUGUGGUCCUAUCAUUCUUACCACUACCUCUACUAAUGCCACAAGGGCGAAAAAAUUGAUGCUCUUUGUAAAAAAAUGUUUUGGCCAUUUCACUCUACAAAAAUGGGUGAAAUUUUGAUAUGCCUUUUAAAUUAAUUAAAUUUCUUCCAUUGAAUUAAAAUAAAUAUUCUUUCUGAAUAUUCUUUUAUAGGCUAGAAUAUUUUAGGUUGAUUAGAACUCUUGCUACUUCCAAGAGUCUGAUCAUACUCCUUACUCCUUCUGCUUUCAAAGGAUAGGAUGAAUGCCCUUUUUCUCAACAAGCUAAUUUAGUCAAGAAAUGUAUAAACCCUAUUACAACAAGAAUUACAUAUACUGCCUUCUUAUUAGUGUUUGUUACAAUAGGAACCAUUUAUAAUGACUAUUGAGCACAAUCCAAUCAGGACAAGUGAAGAAUCUUUUAGCUUUGUUUUUUUUCUUCACUUAUAUUUUACUUUCUCUCUUUUUGUUUUGAGAAUUUUUUUACCAUUCUUAAAAAUAGGCAAUUUCUUUUUUUUUUUCAAUUGAAGGGGAGAUUUGAAAAUCAUAUUUCAUCCAAAAAUCAAACCCCACCCUUCAAAUUUAUAUCUUGAUUGCUAUUGUGGGAAAGAUCCCACCACAUAGGAUUUUAAGCAAGAAUUCUUAUCAUUGCCACCAUCACCAUAUCUAGUAUUAUUGUUAGAAAGACUCCUAUUAUAUAGAUGUUUCUUGGUGUUAUCAGGAUGCUACUUUUGCAACUCCUCAUCCUUAAGUGCUCAAGCAUCCAUGAACAAUUCCUCUAGUGACUUGGAAGCUUGAAUAGACUUUAUAAGUUCACAUAUGUUGCAAUUACACAAUUGUAGAAAUUCAAAUAGAUCUCAUGAGCUAUACUGGAUUGAAUCAUGAUAAGUACAAGGAAAAUGAGAAUAAAAAGAAGAAAGAAAGAGGAAGAGGUCAGCCUCAAGCUUUGGCUCCACUUUGCCUCCAUAUAUCACCUUCUAACAUUACAUCCCCUCCCAAAAAAGUUUAGUUGGCCCCUCAGCUUCUGUUGGUAAAAUGAGAGACCAUUAGAAGGUCUCAUAUAGGAACUUAAGUUGAUCAUGAGUGAUCCAAGUAUCUGUGGUAGAGUCAAUUCCAGCCCAACAAACCCAAAAAUAAGGAAUUCGUCAUCAGCAUAAGUUGUGAUAAACCACCUUGACCACAUGAUUUGGCUGAAGCAAAGUUUGAUCCUCACAAACUUGCUAAGGGAGAGGAACACUAGAUGAUGUAGUAGCUGCUAGAGGUCCCAUAUAGAAUUUCAACUCCGAAACAUAUAAGACAUCAUGACAAUGCUAGCAACUGCAACUUGUAUGCUACCUCAUUCACAUGCUCCAUAAUCUCAAAAGGCCUGAAGAACAUUGGAUGGAGCUUGGAAUGAGCAGUAGCAUGAUGACUCAAGGUGUUGUUCUAGGUGAAACUUGACAUAAACCCAGUCCCCAACCUGGAAUUCUCAAAAAGAAUGAGAUUUGUUAGCUGAAACUUUCAUAACAUGGUGAACCACUUCCAAACAACAAUGCAACUGCUACUAAAAAUUCUCCAUCUCAUGAAUAUGGAGGAGCAUGUCAGAGGCAUGAACCAUCUCACCCAGAAUUGGAAACUUGCAAACCUCUUUGCCAUAUAACACCUUGAAAAGAGCUAUAUCAAUAGCUGAAUGGAAAGUUGUGUUAUAUACAAACUUAGCAAAAUGCAGCUACUAAAGCUAAGAAUAUGGUUUGUCUAAUAUAAAGCUGUGAAGAAAAACCUCCAACGUUUGAUUGGUGCACUUUGUUUGGCCAUCACUUUGAGGGUGAUAGGCACUAGAAAAAUUCAACUGGAUGCCCAAGUGCCUAAACAUGGAUGUUUAGAAUAUACUCAUGAACUUAGUAUCCCGGUCUGAGACAAUAGCCUGAGGAAGUCCAUGGUGACAAAUGACUUUCAACCAAAACACCUCGGCAACUUUUUUAGCUGAAUUGGUUGUGGGCCACAUUUGUAAAAUGGUCUACCACCAUGAAGAUGGAAUCAUAACCUCGCACUAUCAGAAUGCCAACAAUAAAGUCCAUAGAAAUGCUGUAAAAAGAGGCUGUAGUUGAUAGUAAUGGCAAAAGAAGUUUUAGAGUAACUAUAAUUUCUACCUUCUUGACUUGACAAACUUGCAUUUUUGGAUCUAUUCCCAAACCUCCCUUUGCAAGCCCUUCUAAUAAAGCCAUUGUCGAAUAGUAGUUGUAGUUCCCCUGACUCUUGGAUGUCCAACCAAAAGAUUGGAGUGACAUUCCCGGAAAAUAUCCUUGAUGACUAGCACUCAAAAUGAUCAUACCUUUCCUUUGUGAUAUGUAUACUUAUCAUGAGUGUAGUCAUUGUUAGAAUGAAAAGAAUGCUAAAUUGCUACUAAGUCUAGAUUUGAUUUGUAUCCUUCCUAAAUUUUGUUAAUAUAUGCAGUUAGAAAUGCUAGAUAAAGAGGAUGUUUUUAGUUGCUUAGAGCAGUGCAAUAGAGCAUCAAGAAGGAUAUUACUUUUUCUUGGGCAAAAUUAAUUGUAAAGUCCAAAUCUUAGAGAAUUUCGACCCACCACUAUUGUUUCUUGAAGAGAUGUUGUUGCUCCAAGAUAAACUUAAGACUAUAAUGGUCAGUGCAAAGAAUGAAAUGUUUAAGCAAAAGAUAAUGCCACCAUCUUUUAUAUAGCAUGGAUGACUACAAGCAUCUUUUUCUUAUAAACAAGGAGGUGAGACUACAAGACUAAAACAUAUUGGCUAUCAAAAGCUAUAAAGUCAUCUCCUUGAUAAAGAAUUGCACCUACACUUGCAUCUGAUACAUCAGUCUCAAUAAUGUAUUAUUGCAAAAAUCUGGAGUAAAGGUAUUGUUAGCUAAAUUUGCUUCAAUGUCUCGAAUGAAAGCUGAGCUACAUUGGACCACGAGAAAUCUGAUGAAUGAAGAAUAUCACUAAGUGGUGCAACAAUUGAUACAAAAUCCCGAAUAAAGUGUCGGAAGUAAUUUAUGAACCUAUAAAAAGCUCAUAGUUUUUUUAUUAACUUUGGGACUAGCCAAUCUAUAACCACUUGAAGUUUAGAAGCAUCAACCCAUACCUUUCUAUGCUUACCAUAAAAUCCUAAGUAUUGUAAAGGAACACUUUGAAAGCUUAGAAAAUUUCCUUCCAAAACCAAGUGUAAACAAUUAAAGAAAACAAUUUAAAAGAUGAUCUAUAAAUUUCAAAUAUAGAGCGAAAGGGCCUAUGAAUAAAAGUACACCCCUUUUUUCAAUCAGUUUUAGGGGUUUUGAGAUACUUGGGGUUAAGUGUUCUUGGGUUUGAAUAGUAUUGGGUUGGAUGACUUAUCAGGAAGUCCAAAAUCCAAGAACUUAUAUUUGGUAUUAGAGGGGUUUCAAGUCUAAUUCUAUUGGUUAGCUUAGGGGGAGGGGUAGGGUGUCAAGAGAGUGGUGCUCUCAGCUUUUAUUCAUGAGGGUGUGAAUUUGUAGGGAAGCAUGGUGAAUUUAUAGGGUUUAAAUAUAGAAAGAAAAAGCCCAUGAAUAAAAGUGCACCCCCUUUUUUAAUCGAUUAAGGGUUUUGGGAUAUUUGGAGUUAACUGUUCUUGAGUUUGAAUAGUAUUAGGUUAGGUGACUUCUCAGGAAGUCCAAAAUCUAAAAGCUUACACCGAGAGGAUGUUCUCAACAUGUCAUAAGUGUUCAAACCAAUCUAUGCUAUAAAUCAAAAUAUCAUCAAAGGAAAUAAUAAUGAACUAGAAGAGAUACUUAGCUAACAAUCUAUUCACCAUGCUUUGGAACAUAACUAGGACAUUAGUGAAACCAAGUGGCAUCACUUAGAACUAGAAUAGUCCACAAUACGUCCUAAAAGCUAUAUUGGGUCAUGCAUAACAAUUUAGUAAUAACUGGAACAAAGAUCAAAUUUUAAGAAGUACUUUGUCUAUCCAAGCUCAUCCAAUAGUUCAUCUACCUGUGGAAUUAGAAACUGGUUUUUAACUUUAAUCCUGUUCAACACUUUAUAGUCCACCACCAACUGCCAAGAUCCAUCCUUUUUCAUCACCAACAAAACUGGUGAUGCAAAUGGACUAAAACUCUCCUAAACCAAACCCUCUUGCUGUAGUUCAUCUACCAUGUAAUCAGUGAUCAUUUGCUCCUUGCAACUUAUAUGUAUAGCUGGAGAGUUCACUGCUACUAAAUGCGGCUCCAACUCUAUUCAAUACAUAAUACCAACCACUUUGCUACUAUUGCCCAUAAUGCACUUAGAAAACAUGCUAAUAUGUCACUUAGCCACCUCUUUAAGCUCUAGAGCCAUAUUUGUCAAAAAUGUCUAAAAUAGCCUCAUCUAAUAUUGCAGUCUUUGUUCUCAUCUGAUCCUCUUGAAGACCUAGAUCAACUUGCUGGUUGUGGCUUGUUCCCAAGGACUCAUGAUGCACUGCCACUUUCUUUGCUGCUUUUUUUUGGUGCUUUGGCCUCCAAAAAAUCAAAUCUCCAUUGCUUUCUUCGCAGUGCUUUUCCACUAUUUGUGCACCAGGCUAGAGUUAAAAGCUUGAGCCCUAUUGCUUUUUUCACAGUGUGUUGCUACUUUCUUCCCACCCGGCUCAAGCUGCCCACCUAGGUCCUUACUACUUUCUUCACAAUGUUUAUCUGCUUUCCUCACACUUGGACCCAUGAAAUCGCUCUGGAGUGCCCUCAAUUCCUGAAGGUAUGAUAUAAACGAAACUCGUUGCAUGCCUUCGAAUAAACCCUAAACUAGCUCCAAAAGUCUUGCAUUUUAUGGUACACAAGACAUUCCCCACCACCUUAGAUUAACUGUUGACACUGAGAUGUAGAAGCUUCUCGUACUUUGGAAAAGGAAUGAACCCCCCUUCAUUCAACUUGUUGCCCUGCAAAGGUGAAUGAGAGUCUUUGAUCUGUGAAGUUGACAGUUAUGUCUCUAAAUCUCUACAGCAUUUGCACUCCCAAGACUAUAUCAACCACUCCCAUCUCCAUAACAUAGAAGGUCUCCAUAAAAGAGAAUGAAUCCAUUUGGAAGAGUAUGUAACAACUCGAUCCAUGUGGAUCAUUCCUCCAUUGGCAAUUUUGACCUCCAAGGGAAUAUGAGCUAGUUGAGUGGAAAUACACAAUCUAGAUAGUGAUUGGGCAUUGUUAAAGGAAUGAGAUGUGCCAGAGUUUACCAAAGCAAAUACUUGUUGUUCUUGACUCUAAUACACUAUAGACCUGUUUUCCCUAUGAAGGAUGGGAGUGAGAUGGUAGCACCCAGAAAUGCUCCAUCCCCAUCUCCUUGAGUUGAAGUUUUGCCUUCCCACACAAAGAUAUCAUACUGGAAAUCCAAGUCUUUGAAUGCCAUUGGAAUUAAAUCUCCUGCUUUGUUGUGUCCCUAUGGUUGUCUUGCACAAGCUUUGCAUACCUAACAAUGGCCAUGCUCCCACUUAGCUCCAUAGUCAAAACAUUGGCCCAAUUUCAUGUCUUUUAAGCACUUUGUGAAUUGGAUGGUGGGACUAAAGAAGGUGCCAACUUAAUUGGAGUCAAAGAAUUGCCAUUGCCUAGUCUGCCCAACCCUGAUUCUCUAGAAAGUGUCCUUGGUUGAAGGUGAGGCCACUCUUGGUGCAACCAGCUCAUAGUCUCUCACUCCUUAUACUUGAGGUCUAUAUUCAAAGUUAGUUGUAUGGCUUGGUGAACCAAUGAAGGUGCCAAUUGUGCAAUAUCAGCUCCCAUUGAAGUCAAUAACACUGCAACAUAUCACUGAACCAAAGCUGAUUCCAGAAUGUUGUCAACUCCAAACUUAGCUUGUACCCAAUUGAAUGUUUGGAGAGUUGCAUUUUAGGAUUGCAGUAGAGGUCACAAAGCUUGUUGAAGGGAAAAUCCUGGACAAUAAACAAAAUGAACUCCUUCAUGAGCAUGACUUUGAAUGUUUCCCAAUUUGGAAAUAUUUGUGCACACUCCAGGCUACCAUACCACUCUGAGGCUAAGUCUGUGAGAUAGUUAGUAAUAAGUGGAACUUUCUCCACAUCAUGAGGCUCCUGCAUGAUGAAGUUGCACUUGUGCCUUCUAAUCCAGUUGAGUAGUUUAUGGCAAUCAUUCUCCCCACUACAUCUCAGUAGCUGACAUUUGUCCUUGUUCCACUUGGAUGAAGACAAGAAUGGUGUUCUACCUAGUAGUCCUUGGCUCUUGGAUGAAAAGGAAGGUGGACUUAGCUCCACAAGAUCCUCCAUCUUCAUCCUAGCCCAUAAAUUUUUGUACCAUGGUCUAAAGUGUUGCUCAGAAAAGAGUUUUGUUUGUUCUUCCCACUAAUGAGGAAUCUUUGGAAAAGCUCCUCCAGUUCUCUAUGUCGAAGAAGCUGACUGUUGCUCUUCCAUUUUGGACUCCAAGAUCUAUUGCCUUUCAGCCAUAUCUUGCAAGAUCAUUGCCCCCUUGCUCUAUUUCUCCACUAGCAUGCAAAUCUCAGCUUACAUGUCACAGAAAUUGGCCAAAACUCAUUGUUGCUAAAGGAGAUUUUGUUCUGCCAUGACUUGCAUGGUUAGCUAUUAGAGAACUGCCAAUGUGCCGGUCGCAUUCUUGUUGUCAGCUAUGCUGUGUACCUGAUCAUCAUAUUCUUGCUCCAACUCUUCAUCUUCCAUAACUUGCUGCUGUUUUGGGUGCCUAGUUACAAACUUGGCUAGAGGUGAUGGUGAAGCCAUCCAACCACCAAACCUAUUUCUCUAACUCACCCAAAGCCAUGCUAAUAGAAGAAAUGGUGAUUCUUGGACAAAGUCUGUCCCAAUCUAUUCAAGGAACUAAUUGAAGACAACAUCCACUAUCAUUCCCGGUACAAUUAUCCCUUUUAGGAUCCUCUUCACAUGGUGUUGUGUGUUUCAUGAUGAAAGCCCAUUACCCAAAGUAGAAGAAGGCUUAGGGAUGAAUGCUCCAAUACCACUAUAGAGAUCCAAAUAGAUCUCAUGAGUUGUAAUGAAUUGAAUCAUGAGAAAUAUAAGGAAAGAGAUAAGAAAACAAAAAAGAAAGAGGAAGAGAGAAAGAAAUGUGAUUAAAACCCUAGCUUCCGUCAUAUGCUUCCUGCCACCUUGCCAUACAUAAUCACUUCAUCAGACAUACCAGCCUCAAGCUUUGCCUCCACUUUGCCUCUGCAAAUCACCUCCUAACAGUAAUCCUUUCCUCCUCCAUAUAGUCACUUGGAAUGUGGCUAAGUAGCAUUUCAAACCAAUUGAUAUACUCAUCAAUCAAAUUGCCUUUCCUCUGCUGUAAAUGUUGUAGCUCAUGCCAAGCAUAUGAAGAAUUGUAGAGAGGCACAAACUCUUGCUUAAAAGCUACUAAAAACUCAUCUAUGGAGAUAAGUGGUCUCUUCAUGGUGCUUGUUUGCUGGACUAGAAACCAUGUGUCAAGAAACCAUUGCCUUGAUGAACUUCCCUUUACCAGGCUAUAUUAGAACAUAAGGAAAGGAUUUUAUACAAGAAAAAGAGAGGAGAAAAUGAAGGAGGGAAAGAAAAAAACUUACCUUCUUGCAAAGGAAACAAACCUAUGAUCAUAUUCCCUCUGUGGCAUGCCACAGGUACAUAUGGGGCUGGAAAGCCAGCCCAUAUCACCUAGGCACUGAAAAACACUCACCAAGACUAGUGUAUAGAGACACCUCUCUUGGAAAAGCCAUGUAUAUCUCAACCCUAAGUACAAACUUUAUAUAUAUAAGAAUAUACCAAUCUCACUAUGCAAUCCAUCUCUUUUUUUUUGUCUUUUACUUUCUUAUUUUUCUUUGUUGGUUUUUGAGCAGGAUUAUGAAAUAUAAACCACAAUGAAGGGCCAUUCAUUUGGUCAUUCCAAAAUCACAAUAUCUGAUGCUUCACAAAUAACUCUAAAUUUGUUUACAAGAUGGUAAGAAGUGGUUGAUGAUUCCUUGGAGGGGGAGGCCACACUCUUCCCAUGGACUUGUUUUGUCCAUAGUUGAAUUAUACUCUAAAAAUCAAUAUAAAAAUGAAGCUUAGUGUAAGUACUUAUAAAAGUACAUUUAUAAAUAAAUAAAUAUAUAUAUAUAUAUAUAUAUAUAUAUAUAUAUAUAUAUAUAUAUAUAUAUAUAUAUAUAUAUAUAUAUAUAUAUAUAUAUAUAUAUAUAUAUAUAUAUAUAUAUAUAUAUAUAUAUAUAUAUAUAUCGAUAUAUGAAUAUUUUUAAUUUAAUUUUUAAAAGGAAAUCUACAUAAUACACUACCAUUUAGCAAUAUUGAGGGCAUAAUUUUAUAAACAUUGAAAUAAUAUUAAAAAACACAUAUUAUCUGUUGUUUUAAUAUUAAAUAUGAAGUUUUUAUUAGAGAUUUGGGAUAAUCAUAACCAUUGAUAAUAAUACAUGUUUAAGAUCAGAAAGUUUUUGAAUCUAUCUAAACACAAAGUUUUCUUUUGAAUAAUAAUCAUUCUGAGUAAAACGGUACAGAAAAUUAGAAAUAAAAAUAGUAGAAAAAAUAUCAGCUAAAACAUUUUCCAUGUGGCAGCUAAAACUUUGCAAUCUAUUUAUUAUUAACUUAAAUGAAUACUAUUAAAUUAAACCAAGAAUACUUUCUUAUUUUAGUUGUUUACACAUCUUGAUAUCAUGGGCUACAAAAUUUUUACAAAUAUUUUAAAUUAAACUAUUUUAAAAGUAAACUAUCUAAAAUAACAUUAUGGUGAUUUAGUCCAAAAUUGUAAAUAAAAAUUAUGUCAUCUUAUAAACAGCUAUCGAUAAUUCCAUUAGCAUUAAGAUUAUAGUAAAAAAGAAAAAUUAGUAUAAUUAAAUUAUGGAAAAUGUGACUUGGAAAACAUAUAAUAACAGAUUUAAUAGACACCUCUACCUUGGGAUCUUUUAUAUAUUUAAAAAACAAUCACAGGUGUUAUACCUAAGGAGGAGCUAAAGCCCCUCCAAAAAAUCACAUCACAGGGGUGGCCCCGGCAAAUAUUUUGCAAAAAACAAUCUCGGAUUUGUUAGGUUUAAAAUUCUGCAUGGCCAAUCUCGUGCCUGCCACGUGGCAGGCAUUCAAUGGGUGACACUCUGUGUUCAAGAGAUUCCUAUGCACGUGGAGCUUUAGUGACCGCCAACCGGCCGACGGUGGUGAUGCACCGAAAUCUGUCUAUAGUCUUUGUAGGGAGAACCACGGCUCUCACUGCUAGGGCUCUGGGUAUGUGCCAGAGAUCCAUCCUGUGUGUGGAGGCGGUGACCUCGCGCUACUAGGGCUUUGGCUCAAUCAGAUCUACGAGCGAGUGCCUGCAUUGAGGAUGGCGGCCAUGCAUCUUCAACUUCAGGCCUCGGCCCAAAUUUCGGUGAGUUUUCCAGUUUUUUCUCAUCUGCAUGCAGCUGAAUCGAUCAAUUUGCGCAGAGCUCAGACAGGAUUUUGGCUAGCCCCUUCAAGAGCUCCGGCUUUUGUCGAUUGCGAAGCCCGCGCAGUCAGAUCUUGGUACUGACACGCACAUUCUUUUGUGCUUUUCCUGGCUUUCCAUGUUUGAAUUGUUUUUGGCUUGUUUUUUCCCCAGGAUGUGUCGGUGAAUCCCAAGAAACGAGGAGUCGGCGUACGUGCUGUGGCUGUACCCAUUCGGGAGGAAGUGCAGACCUCCAUUCCUGGUUUUACUCAGCUGGGAGAACCGGUGACUGACAGAGCGAUAGAAACAAAAAUCUCACAUUUGCCUUCGUUUUGUUGCUUGCAGGUUCCCGAAGGCCUCUCUUUGAACGAUGUUGUGAAAACUUUGCCCAAAGAGGUACAUCACUCGGUAAAAAAUGCAUUUUUUCUUACGAGUUUCCUGCUGUCAGGUGUUCGAGGUUGAUGACUUCAAAGCUUUCAAGACGGUGGCGAUCACCGUCUCUUCGGUCGCUGCUGGAUACGCGGCCCUUGCGGUGGCACCAUGGUACUUAUACCCAAUAGUCUACGCGUUUUUGGGAACCGCGGUCACCGGACUAUUCGUCAUCGGCCAUGACUGUGGUCACAACUCUUUCUCCAAGAGCCAGCUCGUGAAUGAUGUCGUUGGAACCAUUGUCAUGACGCCUCUCAUCUAUCCAUUCGAGCCAUGGAGGAUCAAACACAACACUCACCAUGCUCACACUAACAAGUAAGUGGUUUCUGUGCUCGUGAUUUCGGCCGACUCAAAACGCGUGUUUUUCUGCUUACCAGGUUGAUUAUGGAUACUGCAUGGCAACCAUUCAGACCACAUCAGUAUGACAAUGGUAGCCCUCUAGUGAGGGGGGUAAUUAGAGCCACCAUGGGUCCGUUAUGGUGGAUGGCUUCAGUAGGACACUGGAUUUUCUGGCACUUCGACUUGAGCAAGUUCCGGCCUCAAGAGCAACCCAAAGUCAAGGUAACUUUCUUUUGUUCCUUGUUUCCGCGAGCUUUAAUCUAAAACUCCAUCCUUGUUUUAAAAGGUGAGCUUGGCGGCAGUGGCAGCGUUUGCAGCACUGGUGCUUGCACCUUUGCUGGUAACUCAGGGUCCAGUUGGAUUUGUCAAGUGGUGGCUUGUACCGUGGCUGGGCUUUCAUUUCUGGAUGAGCACUUUCACGAUGGUUCAUCACACCGCGCCACACAUUCCUUUCAAGCCAAACCGGGAGUGGUAUGCCGUGGAAGCGCAACUUAACGGCACCGUGCAUUGCGACUACCCGGCCUGGUAACGCUUUCUUUCAAUGCCGUCUCUCUUUCGCUCGCGAGCUCAUCUCUUUUCGAUUUCUUCUAGGAUUGAUCUCUUGUGCCAUGACAUCAGUGUCCACAUCCCACACCACGUAUCGACCAAAAUUCCCAGCUACAAUCUCCGCAAGGCAUACGCCGCGAUCCAGGAGAAAUGGGACCGGCACUUGAACAAGGCCGAGUUUGGCUUCCCGCUGAUGAACACGAUCCUUGAUCAGUGCAACUUAUUCGAUGCGAGGAGGUCCAAGUGGGUCAAGUUCGCGAAGAACCUCAGAGGAGACGCCGUUGCAGCAACCAGCGAUUAAAACGGGAAACCAUACAAGAUCACAAAGUUUUCUUAGAAAAAGUAAGGCAAUAGCAAAGCAUUGCAACAGGAACUAUAAAAUAGCUCUAUCGUAUGCAUCUGUAGGGUGAAAGUAGUAUUAAGCUCGAGUUUGGAGCGUAUAUUAUCAAUCAUUAUCAUACUAUUAUGAUUGUCAUUUCUAUGGCCUUACAAGCUUCAAGUUUUGGGUGGUGGUAGCACAACUGGGUAUAUCCCACGAGGAAACUUUGGUUCUCGUUCCGACAGCCAUGCCGGAAAAGCAAUAAUGAUUUCCAACAUAUAAUAAUGUCACACCAAAAUAUCACUGGAAAGAAGAACUGUGGAUGGAGUGUGACGAAGAACAUCAAACCAAAUCUCCAACGCGACAAAUCUCGCCAUCUUUGAAUCGGUCUGGGGUUCGAGUUUGCACCCGGCUGCCACGAAAGGGUGGAAAAGACAAGACAAGACUGAGAUUUUGGACGUGGGAGGUUUUUAAAGUUUCUGGGGGUGUGGUGGUCAGGAUUAUUAGACGUGUGUGUGUGGCGAAAUCAUUAAUGUGUACGAACUUUCUCUCUUUUGUAACUUUCAUAACGGUAGACUGAUAGAUACACAAGAAAGAUGAAAAGAACGCAAACGCAAACGAGACCCAAGGAAGACGACGACGAGAUGACAUGGUCGGUCGGACAACACCUUUGAUCUCUCGCAUUUGUAUAGUGGAUCCAAAACUUUUGCCCAUCCUCGGCCAAAAACAAAUCACCACCACCACCUUGAGCGAUGGUGGUCAGCAGAAAAACCACAAGGCUUUGUUUAAGAGCUUUCAUGUAAUGUCCCAGAAUCUCGCUUGGAGUCGAGGUCCAGGUGAGCUGCAUUGAGAGAGAGAGAGAGAGAGAUUUCAAUGCCCAAGGCUCAAGCGCUUUUGGCAGUGGAGGAGUUUUUUAUAAAGUGGCAAAGGCAAACCACGCAUUUUGCUGGUGGCCAAGAACGUACUCCAAUGUAGGCGGCAUGUAGCCACUUGGACAUGUAACAUAUGCCCAGCUUGGGUGUGUGUAAUUGCCCUGUAAACAUCAACAAAAGGUGGCAUGCCCACUCUGGGUAUAUGGAUCAACACACACACAUGCCCCUGUGGCAAAGGUGUACCACAACAGCUAUACCAAUGAGAAAAUCACCAGGACUCACACAAACACACACACAUACAGGUAUUUGUUAUUGGCCUGGCACAAUUGCAGAGUCCCUGCAAGGCAUAAUUUGGCUGCUAGUGUGUGACAGUGUGUAGCAAAAGGUGAGCCUGGCAGCAGGCAGCACAGGAGAAGGGAGGGGAUUGAGCAUACAACUCAAAGUGUGAACACAAAACACACAAUUAGAGAGAAAUCCACUCAAGAACCCAAUUCCUUGACACCGCUCUUUGCAUGUGUUUGAAUUGGAUCAGCUUAAGUUGAAGUUUCAGUUGAAUUGUUCAGUACCAGACACCCGCCAGCCAGGCCAGGCCAGGCAGCCAGCAGCAGGACAGGAGGCAGCAGCCACAUUCAAAAUCCAGGCCCAAACUUGAUUACACACACCAAAUCUUUAGAUUUGUACAUGAGAGAGAGAGGGUGGGGGGAAGGGUUGAUAUCAUUUUCUAUGCACUCAAGAUAGAUAGAGACACAGAAGGAGGUCAGUUCAUCCUGAGCAGCAACAUCUUUUUCAUUUUUUCAUUUUUCUCUCUUUUUCCUUUCUUAUUUCUCUUUUCCCCUUCACAGAUUAAAGGGUUUCUGAAACGAGAACCUCCUCAAGUAAGCAUUUCACUUUCCACUUGCCAUCUUUCACAAUCCUGGCCAUGAAGCAACAAAUCAGAGACAAAAACCAAUCUGGCACAACUGUUAUUGAAACUGAUGGGACAAUGGACUGAUUGAUACAGUAAUCUCAGCUAAGCUGGGCUGUAAUCCCUGCUUCCGUGGUGGAAGACACGCUGAUCCGGUCCUCCUUGCCGUAGAAACAGUACAAAUUUCUCUAUUCAUUGUAACCUCGUUUGCUUGAGGAGCAAGGAUUCAUCAUUCUUGCUCUCAUAUUUAACGUCCCGGGUGUUCUCAAAAAGAUAAUACUUGACCGAGAAAGCUUCAUGGUCAGUGUCUCACUCACUCAUGCUUGCUUGACACCUUCCCAUGUUGAUUAAACCCCACUUAAAACUGUUUUAGUAUUAAGAAAACAAAGCAAACCACGAUGGUGGCUAGUGUUGUCCCCACACCAGAAGCAGCGAAGCAGCUCAAAGGCCAAUGCGCAAAGAAAAAAAAAAAGAAAGCAAAAGCACCGAAGACAGACCAAAAGAAAAAGAAGACAAAAAAAAACUGUUUAAUAAUCUCUACUACAUGGUUUUCAAUUGAAAAGCGACUAUAAGGCCCGCUUUUUCAAAUAAAAACCCAGCGUGCUCAAAUCCGGUGAUGGAUCACAAACUGCUCAAGAAAACCUCAAACCCACCAAAUGCAAAGUUUAAUCACCUGUCACAGAUCACCCGGAUCAUCUACAUUCCCCGCAAAAGACAAGCCCUAAACAAAGGAAUAAGUAAAGGUGGCAGACUAUAGACUAAAGGUAUAGAAUACGGUAUCUCGUACCUUGCAAGGAAUGCAUAGAAGAAGGGAGCAAACAUCGUUGGAUUUGAGGAAGCAUGAGCAGCACAACAAGAAGAAAACAAAAGGCUCGAUCUUGUUUCUUGUUAUCUGGGCAUUUCUUUUCUCGCCACCAAAGGAGAUGUUUUGUUGUUGCUGGGCAUUUGCGAGCAAAAGCGCGUGUGUGUGUGUGUGUGAAAACGACGCCAUAGCGCUAGGGUGGCAGAACAAAGAAGACUCCUCGUUGCUAAACAACAAUGCCUUAGCUUAAACAUUGUUAACUUUGGUGCUAAUACGAGGACGAGGGCAUCUGGAGGGAUCCAAACAUCCCAAAAAGAGGCAUCUUUUUCGUGUUCCUUUUCUUUCUUCUUCAUCGCUUUCUUCUUCUUCUCCUCCUUCUCUCCCUUGUUGCUACGCGGUGAGGGAUUUUGCGCUUUGGCCGCAUUUGCGCGCAAAGAGAAGCGACCACGCGAUCGAUCAAUCCAUCUUUUUGCCUUUUUGUUCUUCCUUUUUUUUUUGUGUGUGUUCUUGAGGGGGCGAUUUGGACGUCGUGCUUACUGCUACUGGGCUGCUACUGCUGCUGCUGGGGUGCUGAUGGAACUGCUUUGUUAAAUCCAUCCCCGGUUUGUACUCUUGUUUUGGCGUGAUUCCGAGCGAGACGAUCGAAAACCCCUCGUUUGUGUGCUUGCAUUGCGUAGAUAUUUGCUUGCAAUAGUGUCGAAGCUUUGGUGUGUCCCUGUUCCUGGGAUGGGAUGCCUCGUUUUCUAGAACUUGGAAAUCUUUGAGUAGUUGUGCUUCUCUUGCCCCAUUUUUCUUUUCCUUUCUUCUUCCUCCUUCGCUAAACAAUCAAAUCGCGCCGGUAGUGACGACCACUGUUGAUCUGCAGGCCUUUGGUUUGCUGGAGAAGCAACGCCAGCGGCGGCGCAAGUGGAUCGCCGCACAAGUAAUCAAUCAAAUCGCUCGCAACGAGUGAAGAAGAACAAACUCACACACGGUAAAUUAUAAAAACCUCUGCUUUUCCCUCUCCUUUUUGGCUUUCUUCUUCAUCUGGGUCGCUAGAAAAAUGCCUCCUUGUUUGAUCCACAGCUCCACCUCGACCACACCACUCCAAGCAAAAAGGGAUCUUGCGCGCUGGAUUUCUAGAUGCGGGCCGGGAAGAAGAAGAAGCUUGGACUGCUGCUAGUGGAGCAAAUCCUCCUGGCGUGGCUGGAUCCUUGGGCGAGAUGAUGACGAAGAACAGCGAGAUGGAACAGCCCAAGUGACAGCGAUCGAUCAAAUCAAUCCCCAUCUCUCUUGGGUCUUCUCCCGGGAGCUCUAGAUAUGGCCGGCGUACCAGGGGAGAAGAGCGAUAGGUAGACCAAAGCGCUGUAGAAGCAGGGAGGAGGUAUAGGCCCCUAGUAGCUCUGCCGGACAGAGGAAAGAUGCUUGGAAGUGCCCAUCGGGUGGGAGAGCUCGAUCACCACCAUCUCCAUCACUACUACCAGCAGCUCGGAGCUCUCAACAAUCACUACCUGCGCGGCGGCGGCCACCAGGAGCUCCACCUCCAUCGCAAGCUCGAAGAUCACCACCACCAGCACCACCACUUCAAUCUUCUCGGCGGAGCUCCAUUCUCCGCAGCAAGCGGGAGCCUGUAUGGUGGUGGCGCUGCCGUGGAGCCAACCUCCGUGCUGGAUCUGUGGAGCCCGAGCCCGAGCUCCAAAGGUGGCGGCUGCUGCUCUGGACUAUCCUCCUCGGGGGGUCUCAACGAUCACGCCGCCGCCAGGCUCGCCGCCACCACCGCCGCCGCCGCUGGGCACCACGGAUCGCCCUCUUCCUUCGAUGAUAACCGGAGCAACACGAGCGAGAAGAGCGUGGAGGCGGCGCGGAGGUUUCUGGACCAGGAGGAGGAGGAGCAGCGGCGGAAGAACAGCAAGAGCGCCAAGAACACCGCCGUGAGUAGCAGGCUCGUGGUAGCGGCGGCGGCGGGGGGAUGGAAGAGCGGCGAAGAGGAGGAGGAAGCGGCGGCGAGGAGGUCGAGAGACAAGAGCUUGGACGAAUGGCUGGCGGAUCUCCAGCAGCAGAAGCUCCACAUCCCGCCGGCGGCGGAGGAGGAGCUGGAGCUCACGAGCAACAACAGGGGAGUGUUCUUCCAGUCGCCGCCAGCGUGCUCGUCGUCCAACACCGGGAGCCACAGGCCGGGAGAGAUCGAGGUGGAAAUCUUCCCUCCGCCACCACCGCCACCGCCACCGAUCGAUCAAGUCCACGCCCAGCAGCAGUAUGGAAUGGAGGAACUCGAGAGGAUGCUCCUCUCGCCUUCCUCCGGGGGAAUGGGAGGAGCCGCCGCUGCCGCGAAUCAGCACCACCAGCAGCUCGCGAAGUGGCUCCUGGGCGAUGCCGCGCAACAGGAUCAUCACUUCUUCCCAGCGAUCCCGGCAAAGGAGGAGGAGCCGUUGUUCUUCCCGCAAGCAUCGGCCCCCAAUCCAUCGCUCGCAUUUCCCGCGUCCCGGCAUUUGCCGCUGGCGAUCCAGCCGCAGCCAUCGCUCCUCUCCCCUCCGCGGCCGAGGAUCAUCCAGCAGCACCAAGACGUCGGCCUGGAGCAGCUCUUCCACCCCGUGGAUCCGCCCCAUUUCGCAGCAAAUCCCGGGCCGGGGCACGAGCUCCGAUCGAUCGAUCGGUCGCCUAGCAGGAAUUUCCAGGCGCAGCAGCAGCAGGGGCUGGAAUCCCCGGGAUGGGAGCUAGAUCGCAAGAGGAAGGAGCACUACCCCGAAAUUCCCGAUCUUUCUUCCAAGAACCGGGCACCCUACAGCUCCUCGGCAUUCGCAGUGCCGCUGGCAGUGGAAUCUCGCUCGAUCUCGCCAUGGCAGCAGCAGCAGCGGCAAGAAUUCCAAGAACACCACCGGGAUCUCCCGCCAAACCCUAAGCUCCAGUGCGUGCGCGGCGGCGGGGACGAUCGCCAUCGCCAUGGCCGCGGCGGCAGCGGCAGCGGCAGCGGCAACGGCAGGGAUCCCAGCGCCAUCGCAUUUGGAUCGGGAUUUGGCAGCGGCGCCCCUGUGGCGGCGAGCUCCAAUCCAGGCGGAGGAGGCGCAGGGGCAGGGAUUCCAAGCGUACUAUCGGUGCCGGAUGAGGGGCUGGGGCUCAUGGAUCAGCUCCUCCAUCUCGCACAGGCCAUCGACGUUGGGAGCAAUCACGUUGCUCAGUCGAUAUUGGCGCGGCUCAAUCAGCAUUUGUUCUGUCACCAGGGCAAACGCAUCCAGCGUUUGGCCUUCUACUUCAAGGAGGCCCUCGCAGCGCGGAUGAUCGAUCAUCAUCCCGCCACCACCACCACCACGACCACCACCUCCGCCACCACCACCACCGCCACUCCGGCGGAGAUUUUCGCCAAGGUCAGGGCCUACACCAGCUUCUGCGAGAUCUCCCCGCUCCUCCGCUUCGCCUAUCUAUCCGCCAACCAGGCGAUCCUCGAGGCGAUCCAGGGCGAGGCCAGCGUCCACAUUGUGGAUUUCGACCCCGGGUUUGGCAGCCAGUGGGCGGCGCUACUGGAGGAUGUCGCAAGAACGCCGGCGGCGCUGCCACAGCCCCGGUUGCGGCUGACGCUAGUGGGGCCGGACCCGGCGCGGCUGGGGUUCGUGGUGGAGAGCCUCCGGGAGUUCGCGGGGGAGCUCCAGUUGCGGCAUACGCCUCAGUUUGGGCUGGUCCAGUGCGCCUCAGCCGGGGAGAUGACGGCGCCGCUGCUGGGGCUGACUGACGGGGAGCCGGUGGUGGUCAACUUUAUGUUCAGCCUCCACCGGUCGCUUGGGGCGCGGGGCGGUACGGACGCGGCCGUCAGCGCCGUCAUGACGGCGUCGCCCCGGCUGGUCACCAUCGCGGAGGAGGAGGUGGACGACAAUGACGGCAAAUUCCAGCGGAGGUUCGUGGAGACGCUGCAGUACUACGCGUUUGUGCUGGACUCGCUGGGGCCCGAGGACGGCGCGGGGGUGCUCACCGUGGAGAAGGAUAUUCUGUCGCCCGGGAUCGCUAACGCCGUCAGCCUGGAGGGCGCUCGGCGUACCGAGAGGCACGAGAGGCUGGCGCAGUGGAGGGCCCGGUUGGGGCGCGGGGGCCUGGAACCGGUCCCCAUGGGCGAGGCGGCGAGAAUGCAGGCCGAGUGCUUGAUCAAGGGCCACUCCCACGGGAAGAACUUUGAGGUUUGCCGGGACGAGGGAGGGCUGCUCUUGGGGUGGCAGGGAAAGCCUUUGGUCGCGGUUUCGUCGUGGACUCCCGCGAGUUCUUCCUCGGCGGUGGAAGGAUCGAACAACAUCAACAACAGCUUGAUCAACAAUUCGAUCAUCAUCAGUUCCAGCGUUUCGAAUUCCAACAUCGCCAACAACAACAACAACAAGUGCUGAUUGGUAUCAAACAUCAUCACCACCAAAGUUUCCAGGUUCAAAGUUUUCUUCGAAGUUCCUUCCAACUUUUUUGGUGGCUCAGCUGUCUCUUUUUUUCGUUCUUUUCGUUUUCCUUGUUUUCCUUGUUUUCCUUGUUUUGUUGUUUUGCUUUUGACACUGCAGCACAGCAGCAGCAGCUCUCUGUUUUUGCUGUUUCCUGCUGUGGAAGCUCCAGCAAAAAAAAAAAAGCGCAAAAAGAGUUUCUUCUUUUCCAGCAAUACAUUUUAUGUGUAGAGUAGUUUAUCCGUGCUACGGUCUCUUUCUAAGAAACUAACGAAAGAAACUUGGCAGUAUUUUGUAGAUAUACUCUUGGAAAAAGUCUGAAAGUCUUCCAAGAAAGGAGAAAAGGAAAAUACGAUCCAUUUUCUUCAAACCUUUUUUUUAUAAAAAAAUUCCCUUUGGAAACGAAGAGAAAAAUUCCAUUUACCAGACUUCUUACCCGAGCUAUAGAAAAACUGUCUCCUGGUCGAGUCCCUGGUACUGGAGUAGCUCCCUCGAGCAAAACCCCGGAUCCAAAAACUGUGCUACAAACUCCCAAAGCUGAAACACGUCCCUGAAAGUUGUGACAAGUCCCAGCGUCGCACAGAGAACGCUCUGGACGCUUGAGGACGAGGCCUCCAGCUUUCUCACGCAAAAGUAGGAGUUUUCCUCCAUCGCUGCUGGCCGAGCUUGGAUCGCUCCAGUCCCCAGAGAGAUGUUGGACCUAUUUGCGAGCCUCUGGACGAGCUCCGGAUCCAAGAACUCGCCGGAGUGGUCCGAGAGGCUGAAGGCUAGAGCCGGGCCGGAGUCCUCGGGGCUGUGGAUGGUAACGAGUCCUGGACGGCCCGGCGAUGGAUGCCGGAGUAGCAGCAGCGAAGCUCUCAGCCAGCCGAGUAGCGAGUCCUGUCUCAUGCUUGCGAGCUUGGCCAGCUUCUCGGCGUGAUGGAGGCCAUGGAAGCUGGAAGCUCUCGACGUAGAGUAGUAGUAUCUCGUUGCUUGGAACUCGGAUGAUCUCGUCAACUUUACCGACGCACUGACGGAUUCUUUGAGCGGCUUUGGCUUGGCAACUUCCAGCCUCCGCUGUGGAUUCAUUCCAUUGUCUUUUCUAGAGCUCAAGCUCGCUGCUGCGUCGUAGCUCUCGGAUUUCUGCUUAAAGCUCUCUGGAACUUGGAGAAAACUGCUAUGAGCUUUCACAACUUUCACCAUCCCGGCAGCACGGCCUCCAGAGCAAUCGCCCAGCAUGAAUUUUUUCACGACGAGGCAUCCAAAGCCCGUUGGAUCCAUCCCAAACACUUUGUAGAAGGAGCCAACGAGAAAAUCUGGAGAUAAUCCUGCUAAGUCCAUGGACGAGCUCGCAGCUCCAAUCCCAGAGACGUCGAGAAGAACGCACCAGCCAUUAUCCCGAGCUUCCUUGAUCCACUCUACCGAGUUCUUGGUUCCUGUCACCCUGGAAACUAUCGGAUACGCGAAGAGCCCCUUGAAUUCCCGCUUGUGCUUCUUAAGUUUCCUUUGCAGGCUCCUUCGAUCGAUACCAAAACCGGUGCUGGAAAGAGUGGCAUGCACAACCUUGGCACCGGUAGCGCGAGCGCUCUCUUCGAUCCUGCUCAAGCCUUCGUUCUUAAAGUCAUAGCCGAGGAGAAUCCGGUCAAAGUGGAAAGAAUCGACCAAGAGCCGCAGCGCCGAGCAAGAAUCCGCCGCGAAGACGAUGGAGUAGUCCCGCUCGUCCAGCCCGAGGUGAGCUAAGAUCCUGGCUCGCAUCGUCCCUUCGAUCGAGCGGGAGUCCUCGUAGAGCGCGUGAGAGACGAGGCUUGUCGGCGCAUAAGCCAGCGCGAAGUUUUGGUGCUCGCGCGAGGAAAAGAUCCCAGUCCCGCCAUAGUCGAAGCAAGCAUGGCGAUCUUCGUCCAGGUGCGGAUACUCCGUCCUCCUGACGCUGUCGAUAGCGCAGGUUGCUUGGUACUCCGGAUAGAGCUCGAGGAAUGCGGCCUGGGCCGAGUGGAGAUCGGGCAAAUCCUCCCAUACCAAGCCCAUUGAUGGAUCUCGUCGCUCUCUCUGUAGCAUCUAACGGGAUUUUCUAGAAGAAUACCUCAUCGCACUGCUCGAUCGAGUCGUGGCGCAUUGAUCACAAUGCCAGGCCAGCGCGACGACUCCAUCCAAUGCGUGUGGCUCGACGCAGCAAACGAAGACCUACAAACUUUCAAAGUCAACAAUGAGGAAUCAGCCCUAAUUUUAAAAUUUAGGGCAUACCGGGAAGAGCCCUAAAACCAGAGGAAGGGCGAAAAGUCACUGCGGGAAUCGACCGGAUUCCCUUGCAGUCCGACUGGAGCUGAAAUUCGAUCGCUCGCAAUCACACAAAGAUGGCUAGAAACUUAAUAAAAAGAAGGGGGCGCAUAUCUAUAAUCCCGAAGAAGAUGCUUCCCCCACUUCCUAAAUGCGCAAAGAAAACUUUAUAUAGCGGCCUUUGCUAUAAAACUAGGGCUCUUGCGACUCCCCGGUGGUGUGUGUGUGUUCUCCAUACAGUAGUUUGUAGUUUGUAGUGUGAGAGGGAGAGAGAGAGAGAGAGAGAAAAAAAGGGAGGGCUCAUCAAAUCUAUGAGAGUAUCAUUUGUCUCUAGGAGUUUUCUCGAUCGCUCACGCCACUGAUACGCCACACACUUCUCCGCCCAAAGGAAGAUUACUGCGACACACACACACACCCACCAGUGAGUUCUAGAGCGAGUGUGAGCGGUGUGGCUGGAAAGAGGAGGCCGCAAGCGUGGCGCACACAUGAAACGAUCGAUCAUCACGCAUUUGUUGUGAUAACUGAUUGAUUCCUUCGCUUUCGCCUCCAAUUCGCCGUAACCCCCCCUCUCUCUCUCUCUCAUUUGUUUUGCUCUUGGCUCUUUCGGUACAAUUGCAAACCGCCACCAAGCUGGUGUUUUCUUCUUCGUCGUCGUCGUCCUCUUCUUCCUUCGCUCGUUUCCCAUCUCUUGAUCUUCCAGCGAUCUCUUUCGCUUUACGAUCUUUCCAGAUCUCACCAUCUAGUGUUUUUGUUGUAGUUCUUCUUUUGCUCUAGUUGCUAGCAUCCAAAUUGAGUGAUCGUGCGCGAGCCAUCGCUCGCAGCGAGAGUCGGCCAAGACCAUGGUUUGGAGCAGAUCGAUGCUGGACGCGGUUCUUGUACCCGUCGCGAUCCUCAUCAUCGUCGCCUAUCACAUUUUUCUCCUGUACAAGAUCAGAAAGGACCCGCUCCAGACCGUGAUCGGCAUCAACAACAUCGCCAAACGCGCCUGGGUGCGCAGUAUCAUGAAGGUACACACUCCCACUCCUCAGCAUUCGCUCCUCUUUGCAAAUUUGAAAUGCUUCUCUCUCUGCAAUGUCGAAAUGGGUCCGGCAAUUCGGGCGAAUUCCCGAGAUUGGAUCACAGCCCACGUCCGAUCUCUGUACUGGGUCCUGGAAUCCAGUGUUACCAACCAGAAAUGUGGCAUCGCUCCAGUUGUGGGUGGCAAUCCCACAAGGCACAUCAAGAACAUAGCCUUCGCCUUUGCUGCGCAGCAGUUUUUUUCUUGUCUUUGCCCAUUAAGUGCGUAACGGAUUGGAUCGCAAUUGUGGGAGAGAAUUUGGGCCUGUGUUUGGUAAAGAUGCGCCACCUUUUUCCGCUUUUUUGCUUGCGUGCAUGGGUUCUUUAAUGCAGAAAAAUGGAAGCUAGAAUCAAACCUUUCCCUCUCUCACGCACACACACGAAAUGCGCUGGAUCGAUUAGUCACUACUAACCGAGAUGCUUUGCCUGGCAGGACAUGGACAAGAAGAAUAUCCUUGCCGUCCAGACGCUGCGAAACUCCAUCAUGGCCUCGACGCUCAUGGCGUCCACCGCGAUCCUCCUCACCUCGGGCGUCGCCGCCUUCCUUAGCAGCAACUAUUCCGUCAAGCGCCCGCUCGAGAGCGCCGUCUAUGGCGCCAGGGACGAUUUCUCCGUCGCCGUGAAGUUCCUCUCGCUGCUCGCAUGCUUCCUCUUCUCCUUCCUUUGCUACAUGCAAUCCAUCCGCUUCGUCAACAACGUGAACUACCUCAUCAACGUCCCACCCUCGUACGGGUCCCCGCUGAUCACGCCGGAGUUCGUGGGCGAUGUUCUCGUACGGGGUUUUGCGUUCUACAGCAUCGGGACGAGGGCGUUUUACGUGGCGUUCCCGCUGCUGCUGUGGAUCUAUGGCCCGAUCCCGGUGCUGCUCUGCUCGAUCGCGCUCGUCCCAGUGCUCUACCAUCUGGAUGUUAGUGGGGAUGUGGUGGGAGCUGUUCGUGAUGUGGACGAGAAGCCUGUGAAUCAACAGUUCAUGGUGUGAUUGAAUGAUAUCUGUGGCAAUGGUUUUAGGCCAAGUGGGGAAUUGGAUCUGGAUCUUCUGGAUGGAUCGAGGGAUACGGUUUUUGAUGCUUAUGUUUGUUCCUGUCCAACUGAGAGGGGAGAACACAGUAAAAUUAAUUAUGACCAGGGAAUGAAAUAGGACUGGGAACAUUAUCUACGUCAUGUUCGCUACUGUCAAGACACUUUGAUAUGAUAUCGAUUCUAGACACCAUAUAUUGGCACACUUUCUAGUGUUUGGAAUAUGGGACUUGGAAUUUGUUGAGCACUUGGUCCUCAGGCACUUUUAAAUAACAAGAGUUAAUCAUUAUUAACAAAUGCAUUACUUUAAACUAUCCAAUUUAAUGCUAAAAAAUAGAAUAAAAUAUCUUAAUACUUUUAUUCAUAUUAUACUCUGGUAUUUUUUUAUUUUCUCAGAAUAUUCAAAUAUAUUCUUCUCGUAAACGUCCUUAAUCAUGUUUAAAUUUUUAGUGCAAAGUAAAUCAAAUUGCUAAGUAUCAAUUCGGCUCCUCAAAAGAGAUGGCGAGGUGCAACAAUUAUUCAAUUUGAUAGGUGUUAUUUUCUUAUAUUAAACUACUAUAAAAUUAAAGUGGUAUAAUAAAAUGAUAAAAAAAAGUAACUAAAAUAACUCCAACACCACCUCAUGAAGGUGUAAGUAAUAUAAUACAAAUAUAUUCGAGCAUUUUUGUAAAAUGUACUUUAAUCCGGUAGUCAUGGUUUUCUGCUGUUAAACUUUUCUCUAAUUCAUUUUUAAUCAAUUUGAAUGAUAAUAUUAUUACAUUACUAACACCGCUAUACAAAUUUCUAAUAAAAAGGUAUGUCUAUAACCGAGCAAAAUGUAUAUGAGCAUCUUGGCAAUCUCGUUGUCGCGAUGGACAACCUCACAGUCUGGAAUUCGCUGAUGAAACAUUUUCUUAUUCAGUUUGUAGAAUUAAAGAGAGGAUUUCCGUAGGCCUGAGGCAUUUUGCCGAAAUGCAGCAGUAGGAAUCUCUCAAGCUUGGGAUUUCUAUUCUCGCCGUGUUUUGUAGAAUUCCCAAGCUUGCAUCUUCGAGCGUCUUUUUCUAAUUUCCUUUUUUUCUUCUACUGAAAGAAUAAAAACAAGGACGCUGAGUGCUUGUUAAGUUUUGGCCAGUGGCCGCCUUCUCCAAAGUACUGCGCCAGGUCUCUGUGUUUGCUUUCAAGGCUAGAGCUUUAUUUUUUCUUUUCAUUUACCUUCAUCGUUACAGAAGUUCAAGAGGUUGUUGCUGUGAAGCUUUUACAUUUCUUUGUGACAAGGCUCACUAUGGAGGACAAAACUUCGGAAUCAGCGCAAGAACUAUCCUUUGUCGAGGCAUCUGUCGCUGCAGCAAAAUCUUGGGAUGUUUAAAGUGAUGGAAGUGUUGAAAAUGCUUUUGAUCUGGGUAAGUUAUCGCUGGUGUUCAAUCACUUCUAAUUUUUGUUUUCUUUUACUUCUCACAGUCGUGUUUGUAUAUUCGUGUGUGUUUGUAGGAGGCCAGUCGGAGGUGUAGAGAAGGGAAGGUGUUAAGUAGAAGUUACAAGACGGGCUCUUAGAUUCGUGUAUGGAUUUGGGACAGGACAAAGGUGGCAAGCAAAGACGAAAAGCCCAACAGGACGUCCCUCCAGUGCCGAAGAAGCCCCAAGCCGAGGCGCUUUGGUUCGUGCACUGUUGAUUAGGAAUAUUACUGGAUAACCUGAAUUUGAAGUCUUCUAACUUUAUUGUAUGCAAGUGAGCAUGAAAAGUUUGGUCAAACACCGUCAUGGAGCCCAGAGUCAUUUAGGAGCAUGACAAAGCCAAAAGGCUCAUCCUGGCCAUGGAGGUCGUAUCAACAAUUCUAGAUGGAAGCGCAAACUAUAAUUCCAGGAAGAUUCUUUCCAAACAUCUUCACCUUCCAUCAUAUAUUGCCAUGAAGUCCUGGAUGUUGGAGAGUGAGGGACACAGAAUAAAAAAGUUAUGGUUCUCUUCACUCUAGCUUUACUGAGGAAAAUUUAUAUCACAAAGUCCUACUGGGGAAAGAGAAAGGCUUUGGUGAAAGAAGCCAAAGUGGUGGUGAUGGAGAGCAACAAUAGUGCUGGUUGAACUUCUGGCAACAAUUGGCAAGAACUGGCAUUGGAGUGAAGAGGCUCUAGUCCUUCUGUGCUCACUCAUCUUGGUGUUGUUGGAGUUUUCACUCCACAUUUUUGGUGCACUGUCUAGGAACAAAGAGUAGCAUGGAAGGUGAGAAGAGUGAGUGCUAGACAGGCCAGGUUACCUUCAGAAGUCGAAGGCCAGCUUGUUCCUAUGCAAGAAAAAUGUUGGAUAGUGGGGAUUCUGUAAAAGAAAUCAGGCUAUUAAACUAGCAAGUAAGAAGAAAAAAGGGAUGAAGAGAAAAAAUCCAAAAAUUAACCAAAAUGUAGUGGUUUAUGAGGUUCUAGAGUGAGAGGAGAGUUAGACAGAGCACAAUCAUUAAGGAAAUCUUUGGAUUUUUCUUUGUUUUAAAUUAACCAUGAUUAAUUAGUGAAGAUUAUGAAUAAUCUGUGUGAAGGAGAAGAGAAAGGCUUUGAAAGAAGUAAAAUUGGCAGUGUUAAAAAGAAACAUUAAUGCUAGUGCUGUUGGCAAGCCUGAAGAAAAUGAACCUCCUAAUAGCUAUGGCAAGGAUUAGCACAAGGGCAAGAGGGCUCUAGUUCUUAAAUAGUAUGUCUUCUAUGCUUCCUUGGUGGUGUUGGAGUUUUCACUCUCAUAAAAAUCAUCUACUUUUUGAAAAAAAAUUAAGAUUUUAAGACAAAUGAGUAUUAAAAAUAUUUAAAUUAAAAUCUGAAUUUUGCUUUUUUUGAUGCAAGGUUAUGAAAUAGUGUUUGGACAAGGAAAGUUCAAUAUGAACUAAACUAAAACUUCAGGAUAAUUGAGAAUAAAUUAAAUUUUUUAUAGGAUUUUUAUAUAAUCAUUUGGCAACAAUAAUGCUUGGUUUACUUUUGGUUUAGGUUUUUAUAUUUUUCUAGACAAAUAAAAGUGUUUUACUAUACAUGUUUUAAUUGCAAUUUAUAAUUUUUGUUCUCAAUAAUUGUUCUAUUUCUUGCUGUUUCUUUUUUUUUUAUCCUUCUUUUUCUUAAAGUUCUUAUUAGUCUUUUAUGAGGUUUUCUAUUAUAUUUGAUAUUUGUUAUUCUUCUCUAACACAAUGUAUGGAUCUUCUGAUUUAUAUAAGAAUGCAAUAUACAAUUUAUAUAAUGUGAAACUUUCAUGCUAGGCCAGCUAAGCUUCAAGGUAGCUGCACUGCCAGUUCCUUAGUGAACUGCCACUGCCGAUGAUUUACAAGAAGUUGUUACAUGUCAGAGCACUGAAUCAUGGAUGAGCAAAGGGUGCCAUGGAGUUAAACGGGGACUUGUUGUUCGUGGAAAAGGAGCUGGGUUUGGGAGGCCAAGCACCAAAUCAAGCGCAAGAGUGACGGUCUUUUGUUCACUUGCAAGGCGCCCUGAGUCCUGAGGGAGGCCCUCGACUUUGAGCUUCCGGAAGGAGGUGGAAGAGGAAGCAGAGUACUCACAAAACUCUCCAAAAGCAGGGUGUGGUUCAACUUGUGGAUUUUUCAAGGACAAGGAUUAGUAUUACGGAGCUGUGCCAGUGCUUCCUACAAGACGUUUAGUGAGAAGAAGAGGCUGAGUGAGCAUGAGCCAGCCAUGGUGAUCAAGAAGGUGGCCAGUUGCACGACAUAGGCAUAGCUCAGAGAGAAGACUGCCAACAUCUUCCUAGGGCUUUUGUUUGACAGGCACCAGAAGAAAUCUUUGCCGCCUUUAUCCGGAUAAAAUAAGUCUUCUGGGAAACGACAAUAAAAAGCUGGCUUAAUCAAUUUAAAGUGGACACAAACCCAAAAGAAUGUGCAUUUCUUGGCCAGGGGCGGUUGCCCCAUCUCCUGCUCCCUCUAGAAGAAUUCGUAUGAAACCUCUCUACUUCCUAACUUUUUUAGGAGAAGGCCACGCACACCCAGGGAGAAUGCUCGAAGAAGCCAUUUCGUGGCCAUGCUGAGCACCAUGGGAGGCCGAACCAGAAGAGGGAAGAAAUCUUUGCCACCUUUGUCCUGAUUCUUUAUGUAUGUUUAGUAUAAUAUUUUUUGCUUUUUAGUUAUUAUUUAUCUUUAUGUUCUGAUAUAGUUUGUUAAUGUUUGCCAAAGCACUAUUCUAUAACUUAAACACCUUUAAAUUAGACAUGCUUUAUAUUUUGUGCCCUUUUACUAAUUCCUAUAAACAAAGGGUAUUGGUAAUGGACAAUUAACAUUAAACACUGAUAUUUAAAAACAUUCUAGAUAAUGCCUGAAUAUUUCACAAGGAAUAGUAUUCCCUUAUGUAUCUCGUGCUUGUCAAAGUUUGCCAAAGCAUAUAAAAAUUAGUGAAUUAACUUGAAAUUCAUAAUUCUAAACAUUUUUAAAAUUUAGACAGGUUCUUGUUUGUUUGCUGGGAGGGAAUGCUUUUAAGUGAUAGCAUAUGUUUUUUUUCUAAUCGUUGUUUUAAUUUGACUUAUUAACAUUAUUCUUUUGAUUUAAUUAUAUUGUUAGAGACAGGCAAUAAAGACAAUGAGAACAUGCAGGCUUUGGUUUAUCAAAUCUGUGGCAUUACAUGCAGUGCCUGGCAUUCAGGGCACACCCCAACUGUCCAUCAUCAGUUGACCGGAGAUUUUCAAAUUUUUUUGAGAACCAAUGUGCCCUCUUAUGAGGAGUGUGUGUGUGCACGAAAAUUCAUACACCUGUACCCUCAGCGUGUACAGGUACACAUACCACUUUCUGUCGUAUUGUACCACUACCGCGUACAGAAUACCGCAGCAAACAUGAUUUCACCGCGCCGUACAUAUUCUCAGAUACACCCCCGUACGGCCGCUGGAAUUGUGCCCAUGCCGACACGAUCAAUCACUGCCUUCCGUGGCAACUCAGGCUUUCGCGAGAGCUGUCCAAAGGAAUAAACAAGAAGAAAAACUUCACUCACUCGUGUUCUUCCUGUAACAUAUACAUUUUGUUCAUCCUUCGAAAUCCAUAUACUUACAGUUCUCUCAUCUUUCGCGUGCUCGCUUCCUCUCGAUAGCGAUGCCUCCAAUCAAUCCAUUCCUUCUCCUUCCUCUUUGUGUUUUGUUGUGAAACCCAUCGUCUUCUCUUGGCAUUGUUUUGGCUUUCAUUUUCCUGCUCUCCCUCCCAGCCCUUGGUUUCGAUCAAUCGUCGCGAGGAGCUCAAAGUCUUUGAUUAUCUCCAUCAACUUUGCUGCGCCUCGAGGAGACAUGGUCACUAUCUUGUGCUGAAAUCCUGUCCCUCACGAGGCACUAUUUAGUUUAAGUGCCGUUCUCCUUUUCGCUUAAGAACCCUAUCCUUUUUCUUUUUUCUUCUGCGUAAGUCCCAGUUUGUGCUAAUCUCUCCGUCUCUGUUGAUCGAUCACAAUCUCUCCACGGUCAAAUCGCUCUCUCAAAUCGCGGUAUUGGGUCUCCAGUCCGCGGCACUGCGAAGAUCCCAGCUACUUGGAGCAAGAAAUUUACUUCUCGAAAGAGAGAAAAGGAGGAAAGGAAAGGGAAAAAAAUAUGGAAAUUCGUGCUUUGGCGUGGCAAAGGAUCGCAAUCCCAAAUCCAGCGGCCAUCGAAUUCACCGCAGCAGGUCCUCGUCGUCAAUCGAUUCGUGUUCUUCUUCCUCGUCGGGGGAUAGGAUCAAAAGGCACAACCUCGUGAGGGAUGGAUUGGAGCUUCUUCCCGAGUCCAAGGAUGGGGUCCCCCGAUUCAAGCUCGUUAUCUCCAAGGAGCAAGUCGAUGAAAUCGUCUCCGGCGCGUAUCAUCCAUCCAAGAUCGAUUACUUGGACCAUUUGGUGACGACGAUGCUCCGGGAAGAACUCAAGAAGCUUGGAGCAGCGGCAACAGCAACAGCACGAUGAAAAGGAGAUAGAGAGUUUUUUCAUGAUGGUCAGAGUGUCAGCUAGCUCUAGCCAGCCAGUCGGAAGAACACACUUUUUUGGUUUUUCUGGAUACCUUGUAGUUCUUUUUUUUCCACCCCAUCCAAUCAAUUGCGAUGUCCAUAAUCAUGACAAGAAAAUCUGUAUACUGUGUCUCUCUGACUCUGUUCUUAUUGCUUGACUCUUGAGCCCAUUGCUUUCCAAAAAGGAGCCGGCCAAUGCAAAGUAAAUAAAUCCCCACUUCACUCGGGGUGACUUUGAGUGCACAGAAUGGAGACAAGGUAGAGAUUCAUGUAGCAUGGUAAAAAACUGCCACAGAUUUGAAUAGUUAAACAAGCUCUUACAGCUGCUUUACUUGGAUAGUGAAGGCACUGGUGUCACAGUGGUGUGAAAAAAGGAAUUAGCCAAGGUGACUAGAAAAAUGUCAAUCUAUCUAUUUAUCCUUUUUACAGGAAAAAAAGAAUUCAAUGUUAGACAUUAGGUUAAAAGUUAGCUUGUACUUAGAAAUAAAAUUAUAAUCCUAAAAUUUAAUAUAUCAUCAAAACUAUUAUAUUACCCUUUCUUUCACAAGUUAUGUCUAUAAUUUUAUUUUUAUUUUUAAUUUUUAUCCUUUUGAGAAUUUAUGUAAAUGAAUUCAUCCAUUAUGAAAAAUAUAAAAAACACUAAAACUAAAGAAGAAUAUGUGUGACAAGAUAGGAUUCAAACUAAAAGAUGUUGAGACAAUCAAAAUUAUCAUUAUUAAAAUAUUAUAUUGGCAAUAAAUAACCAAUAUAGAGGCAAAAAAAAAAUAAAAAAAUUAAAUUAUAUUUUAGUCAACUUAGAAAUAACAUAAAGUUAUUUUCUGAAAUUAACACUAAUAAAUAUUUAUAUUUUUAUUGUAUAUAUUUUUUAUUCAAGUUUGUUCAUUUAUUUUUAAUUUAUUUAUAUAUAGAGAGAGAUUCUAACAGUAUAAUUAAUUUAAAAAUUAUUAAUCUAACCAUUGAUAAAAUUUAAUAUAAGAAAAGUUUAUUUUCUAUAUAGCUUAAUUAGGAGUGUAUGCUGUAUACUAAUAUUAGCAUAAUGAUUAGUUUCAAUCUGGACCACUCACUACUGUAUAUAAACUAAGGCUUUUGGGAUAAUUAAUAUGCACAUUUCUAUAUUCAAUUUCUAUAUUCUAUGCAAUCACAUUAGCGGAGAUGAGGAGUAACUUUGAUUGUCACUGAGAAAUGUUCAAAUUUGGGAUUUUAAUUUAGAUUUAGCUUUCGCAUUGUCUAAAUCUCCCUUUCCUUAUAAUUUUUUAAAUUUUUUAUCUAUUACUUUGUCCUUUUUUUAUUCAUCUUCAUAGUAGAGCAACAACCUCCUCUUUCUUUGACUUUGGAGCAGUAGUUGAUGCAAUUCCUUGAUACUAUGUGGUUAUAAUUGAACAAUCAAACUCAAUAAAUGAUAACAUUCACGAUACAUGGUACAUCUCCUCCUUCUCUUAAUACUAAUCCUCACGUUUAAUAGGAGUUCUUCCAUGGGAGUCCUAGGGAUGAUAUGUACUAUUGGUUCGAUCACUUUACGAUGUUACAUAUCAUUUUUGGGAUGAUACUUGGCAUUUGUAUGAGUUUCCCAUGUGUCUCCAAGGGACAACACUUCAAUAGUGUAAUAGUUUAAAUGUAGCCACUCGUGAGGAUUAAAACAUUAUCCUAGAUGUCUUUAAAUGUGCAUUGGGAUAUGCUAACAAUUAUAAUAAUGCCUUCCAACAAUUGUAUCAUUUUUGUCAAGGGCCAUAUGAGUCAGUGAUGUAAUUUGGCAUUUGUUUCCAAAGCCUUUUACUUCAUGUGGAGUUAAAUAUGUAGAAACGAAUCAAGUUAGGGAUGUUGUGGUUAACACUUCAUCAGGAUCCUGUAGAACUUGUGCAUACACUUGCUCCAACUACUCUUGACGAUGCUCUUUGUAUAAUAAAACAUUAUGAAAUAUUACCUUUUUCACUUUUCAUUGCACGUCCUUCAUCUCCACUUCUUGUAAAAGAUAGUUUUACUCCAAUGAAAGUUGAUAUUAUUGCUACUUGAGUUGAAAGACAAGAGUGAAGAUGUGGUCAUGGGUGUGAUGUUUGUUGUCAGGCGUAUGAUGAAGUUGAUCACACUUAUUAACAUUGUUAGCAUUUCCGGAUUGGCAAUCUCUAUUUCCUGGGUGGAAACCUUGGCUCCAAUAAUGUCCUAUUAGUGCUACUGCAAUGGAAAGUUUAAACAUUGUGAUACUUUUGGGAAAUGAAGAAUCACGUGAGUAGUAAAAGGUUUUUGUAUGAAUAAGUUGGUGACCCUUUCAUCUUUCUUUCAGGAGUAUUAUUAAGGGUUCAUUUAGCACUAAUUCAUCAAGUGUUUACUUUCUAAGCUUGUUCUUAUAAUAAGAUGUUUCAUAUUAUUCUUGUUAUGUUGGUAGAUGUAGAUUUGAGUUUAUCUUUUAUUAUUUGGCCUAUUUCCACACAUUGCUGUCUACAUUUGUGUCAUGCAAUAGAACUAAUUUUCAUUUUUUAUGGCAAUGGCUAUACACAUGCAUGUGUGUGGGAUGAGAUGGGUCUAAUUGUGCAUGUUGGCGAUCUUGAGCUUAAGUUACAGUUAUUACGGGUGGUGUUAAGUCUCAUCCUUGGUAUGUAAGUUAAAUUAUUUAAGUUUUAUAUAAGAAAGAUAUUAUAUUUUUAAUAUCAAAAACUAAAUAGUGAACCUGAUAGUAAAUAUAUUUACAUUAGUUUUUAGGAUUUUCUAAUGUUUAAUUAAAUUAAAUUUUUUAGAAAUUAUUUAUUUACAAUUAUUUGCUAGAUAUGUAACCUAAAUCUACUUUAUUUAUUUUAUUAGAAAUAUUUCUAUCCAAGUUUCCAAUCUAGGGUAAAACUUGCUUUGUGUGGUUUUCUCACCUAAAACAUUUAUGAAAUCUUUGACUGUGUUAGAGCUCUGGCAGCAUAAGUUAAUGCAACCAUUAGUUAGAGUUUGUGUGAGAGUUUCUAGAGAGCAACAAUCCAUUCUUAACUUUGUGUAGUAUAUGUGCCAGCGGCCAAAGUCUAGGCAAUCACAGUCCAGAGUGUCACAUUGUACAAAUUCCCAGUGGCACUGAAGAUGAUGAAACUGCUCAAAGCUGCAUAAGAUUUCCACAAGGGAUAAAUAGAUCUGCAUUGAUAGAGCCUUUGAAGGUACCACUUCUCCAAAGGUUUGUCACAUGGCAUGUAAUUUCCAAGAUGCCACCUUUCCAAAGGUUUAGCCUCAGAGUCAAGUCUUGUUGCUUCUUGCCACCUGAUUUAAUUUGUUUGUGAAGAGGACCACUCAACGUAAGGCCGUCUUUCUGGGAUGCCGUGGAAGGCUGAGAUAGAGAUUGUGUCUGGAUUGAAAAUAUAAUUUAAAAUAACGACGGUUUAGGGUUUAGUGGGGUUUAGGGUUUGGAAUGAGGAGAGCGAUCAAACGGCGGUUAGAAUGGAUGGCGCACCGGGUGAGUCCUUCUUCCUCGUUCUUCCUUCAAGCGCUAAAUCUUCCCACUUGGCUCUGCUAAGGCCCUUCUAGACAACCGUGUCAAGCUCCAAACCCAAGCCAUUCACGGCGUUUACAUCCGUCCAAGACCAUCCCCAGCAGCUGGAAAGGUCGUUCUUCACGGCCAGCUUGGCCGCAUUUCCUCGCUCCAGGGCAGUCCCGGCACUUAAUCCUAAGUUCAAGAGUGUGGAUGUUUCGAGCGGGAAGGAAGAAUCCAUGCCCGAGAAAAGAGAAGAGAGCGACGAAGAUGGAGCGCCCUCCUUAACUUCUGGAGGACAGGAUGAAGAAAAACUGGUCGACGAUGAAGUUCCUCUGGCAAAGUCUGAGGAGGAAGAGAUUCUCGAGGAAGGGAUCUCGUUUGAGAAGAUCGAGGAAGAGGCAAAGCGUGCUGUGGAGCCUAUGCCGAGUGUGAUCAUCCUUGGAAGGCCAAAUGUUGGUAAAUCUUCGCUAUACAACAGGUGAGAUGCUUCAUUUUUCUCUUGGUUUUGGAUCCGUCGGAGGUUCUCAAAACUUUUCCUUGGCAGGCUUGUACACAGGAAAGAAGCCAUUGUGUAUGAUACUCCGGACAGCCAUGUAACACGCGACAUUCGCGAAGGCUCCGCAAAGCUCUCGGACUUGCGUUUCAAAGUUUUCGACUCGGCCGGGCUGGAAACCUCCGAAGAAGGCGCGACUGUUCUUGCGAGGACAACGGGAUUAACAGCAACGUUUCUUCGAACUUGCCAUGCCGCUCUCUUUCUGAUCGAUGGGAGGUGAAACUUUCCCUUUUCUUUCUCGCAGCAAAGCUUUAAUAUUUUUUCUGUUCUUUCUUUCAGGGCCGGUGUGAGCCCUCUGGACAAAGAGGCUGUCAUGUGGUUUCGCAAACUCAACUUGAAUCUCCCGGUUGUUUUGGUGGUGAACAAAGCUGAGAAAAUCACAGGCGAUCACCAGAUAAUGGCAAACAUCGCGGAAAGCUAUAGCCUCGGGCUUGGGGAUCCUGUCCCGGUUUCAGCAGAAACUGGAGAAGGUUUGGCUGAUUUGUUCCAACGUCUCCAGCCGAUUUUGGAUGCCGCAAAAGAAAAGCUCGUCGAGGAAGAAGAAGGUGAGACGUUUCUUCUUCUCCUUGUUUUUCUAACUUGUGUUUAUCGUUUGUGACAGAGGAAGAGAAGAGCUUAGGAGGCCAAAAGCCUCUGCGUCUUGCCAUCGCUGGUCGAACAAACGUUGGGAAAUCCACAGUGAUAAACUCACUACUACGAAAAGAGCGAGUUCUCACGGGACCAGAGCCGGGGCUUACGAGAGACGCCAUCACGAUUGACUUUGAGUUUAACAAGAAGCCAGUGCGUCUGGUAAUCUAGCAUCUUUCGUUUGUAUAGAAAUCCGUAACGUUCUUCUCUUCUCCAGGUUGAUACUGCUGGAUGGAUUCAACGCUCCCAGCUGGAAGAAGGUCCCAUGGCUCUCAGUGCUAUGCUCGCUCGAAGAAGCUUAAUGACUGCUCAUGUGGUGGCAAUAGUACUCGACGCGCAAGAGGUUUUUCCUUUGUUUCUUUUCUCUGUGUGUGUGUGUGUGUCUUUUUUUUUACCUUCUCACUGUUCUGUAACUUUGGAUUGUAGAUCGCACAUUCAAAGAUGACACUUCGAAACUCCGAGGCAGCACUGGCACGAUGGGUGACCGACGAAGGCCGCGCACUUAUCAUCGUCGUGAACAAGAUGGACGUUCUCAAAGGUCAAAAGAAUGCCGACCUGAGGAAGAAACUCAUGGAGGCAGUUCCCAAAGAAAUCCAGCUUACGCUUCCUCAGGUACUGGAGUGCUUCCUUAGGCUGCAAUCUUUUUAUCACGAGCAUUCAACAGGUGCUUGGAGUUCCUAUCAUCUUUGUCUCAGCUCUCAAGGGGCGUGGAAGAUCGACGAUCAUGAAGCUCGCGUUCGAGGCUUAUGACAAGUGGUGUACGAGGGUGUCGACUCCGAGACUGAAUCGUUGGCUUCACAAGGUUGGUUUUUCUUUUUUCUUUCCUUUUGUUUGGCUUUGUUGGUGUGAUCAUGAUUUGUUUCAUCGCGAUGUGUAGGUGCUUGCUCGACAUCCCAAGAGAAAAGACGAGAAGAGAGCAAAGCCGAGGUACAUAACGCAGGUGAAGGCCCGACCUCCAACUUUUGUAUUGUUCGUGGCGGGAUUUUACAGCCUCGAAGAUCACGAGCUUCGAUUCAUUUCCAACGCCAUUCGCGAGGACUUUAACAUGGGAGGAAUCCCAGUUCGCGUUAUCCAGCGAACCAAGAAAGAACUAGAGGGUGUUUAACUCUGUAUUAUUCGAAUAAAGUAGAAAUUUAACUUAAGCACCCACCUUUAAAUUAGAACUUUUAAAUUAUAUGAUUUUAACCUAAUUUAAAUUUUUUUAUGCUAUUCGAACUUUAACUAAUGAUAAGUUACCUUUAGUAUAAAGAGGUCCCAAGACAGAAAUUUCACUAGCUCAACGUUGGAAAUGCUUUAUCAUGAGAUCCCCUACUUAGUGAUUCGAUUAUAGUUAAAAACUCUACAUUUGUUAGAGAAAUUACGCACAAGAUUACAAGUAGAUCACGAGGCAUGCACAAACGCUGUUGCUGCCACUCCUAUGGAGCUCGCGCUCUUGCUUUGUUGAGCCACUGUGAACCAGAAAAUCACGGCGGCCCGCGAGUAUAACACGCGCACCUGUUGCAAGACGAGGCUCCCCACCGUUUUCACAGCGCAAGUCCCUCCCACUAUCCGCGUCUCGAUCACGGACAAGCCAUCGCUCUUGCCUGGGAGAUGAUGCGCUGCUAGGCCACCCGCAGUUGUGACGAUCGGACACGAGAGGUACUCGAGAGGAUGCUCCUCACACUCGAGGGCGCAGCGAUCCACCGUCAGGCUGCCACGCCUGUGUAGCAAGCAGCUCCCCAGCUCCGCUUUGAUGGUCAGGUUGGCGAUCUUGCCGUUUGCCGAGAAGACCAACGCGCUGCAAAGUGAGUGCUCGAGUUCGUUAGAAACAGGAAAUCGAACUUCUCGCUCGCAAAGGAGAAGAAGGAAAUUAAAAAAAAACGACCUUUCGGAACCACUGGGGGAGAUUAGCACCGUUUCCUCUGGAGAAGAGCCUCCACCCAUCUAAGAAUCCAAAUGCCAACAACAAAACGGGGUGCUCAUACGUUGGAGAAAGAAGAAACUUGCAAAAAUACCGACCAAGCACAGCGGCUUGUCAAUGGCAACGUUUGCAACUGCGUGGACUUCUCCAGGCUCGAUAAAUAUCGUGUCUCCGGGCCUGAUGAGAAAGAGAGAAGAAUCCAUUAGAAUCGCGAAAAGUAUGAACUAGAAAACUCCCAGACCUGGCCGCAUUGACAGCGUCUUGCAAAGUUGCAAACUCGCCCGACUGAAUAAAAGAAUUGUAACUAGAGUUAGCAGUGGCCGAUUGAACCCUCAGCCACAUCCGGGAGUCGGCGAUCAAUUUGUGCCACCGGGAGCACACGCUCGCGGCAUUGAAGCGAUCUACACGAGCAGGAGCUUGGCAUUGACGAAAUCCCGGCGUGGGAAAACAAAAUCUUCACCUGGAAAUGGCGCCAGGAAUCCCAGAACUCGCACCAGGCAGCCGUCGUCAAGGAGAUUGAUCGAUGGCCGCCGCGAUUCCUGCCCUCGCCCUCGCCUGGCGCUCCUCGAGCAGGGCAGCAUCGCCAAAAUCACCAAACCCUAAAGGAUGUGACUCGUCGCCGGAAUCGAUCCCCCUCCACCCGGUAAAAUAUUUGAAAUAAAAAGUCUCGCGCGUACAAGACACGUGGCGGAACGCUAGUGGUGCUCAAGCGAUCGCUCGCCGGCCAUGCGGCUUGCCGCGUGCGUUACAAGGGUUAACCACGGGCAAUGAUCCACGCACAGUGAUAGCUUUGUUAGCACAAGAGUCGCGCGCUAGGGUUUUGUGUGACGAUGAUCGCGACGGCGCUGGGGUCGUGAGGAGGAUCGCGGCGCGGCUGGAGCGCAGAUCUGCCCGGCUCCAUGCGAAAUUCGAUCCAUCGUCACUCCCUCGGAUUUCUUCGGCGGCCGGAAGGUAAUGGCUCCGAUCCUUGGCUGGAUUGUGGAUUGGAUCAUCGAUAACAGGGGGAUUUCGGUGAUUAUCGCACAGAUCUGCGAGGAGCGGUGAUCAGAGAGAGGAAUCUGUGAGGGAUUUCCAUCAGCUAUGAACGGGGAGCUUGCGAACGAUCGUGGUAUGCACUACUACCACGACGAUUCUUACAGGAAUUCCUCGGCGUCUCACUCGGCGCCCUCGUACUCGAGCGGCUACAACAAUCCGGAGGCUGGGUACCAGAUCAAGGAGCACAAGAAGAGCUCCAGCAGCCGAUCGUGGGAUUUCCGCAACGAUCCGGAGAUGAAGAGGAAGAAGAGGGUCGCGUCUUACAAGGUUUUCACGGUGGAAGGCAAGGUGAAAUCGUCUGUGAGGAAUAGCUUCCGGUGGAUCAAGAACAAGUACUUGGAGAUGCGCUAUGGAUGGUUCUAAGGAAAGAAAAAAGAUGAUUUUGCUGUGGAAUUCUAAGGCAAAGGUCAAAAGUGUGAUCUCUGGAAUAUCAAAGAAUAUUAAAUUCUAACAUCGUUAACGGAAUAAACUUUUUAAGAUGCUGUAUAUUCCGUUUGAGUUAAGGCAUAUUCUGGUAGAGGUUUUGUAUUUGGAUUCGUUUGGCAUAUUCGUUGCUUAUUUAUACUCGCUUUGCGCACGCGAGGGAGGAGGGUUAUGGCGAUUGGAUGGCGCUGCGCCGUCGCGCUCGCGCUGCUACUGGCGCUGGAGGUAGGGAUUUCGAUUGAGCUCGAUCGAUGCUCGCUUCUUAGGGUAGAAUGGGGGGUUUUGUGUGGCUAGAGCUGAUUUUCGUGCUGUGUCCAGGGUUUGGGGCGAUUUCCAGCGGCUUUGGCAGAGAUUGAGAGUGUAAAUGAUCGUCUAGAGACGAGAUUGUAAGUCGGAUUUAGAUUGUAGAGCAGCAAAGUUGAUCUUUCUUCGCAGGGCUAAGCAUGCGAAAAAUCACUGCGCAAUGUAUGAUGUUUGUGGACAACGAGAGGAUGGAAAGGCGUUGAACUGUCCGAUUUCGGUGCCUGCGGUCACGGUAAGUUUGUGUUCUCGUUUUUGUUUCUUGAUAAGUUUGAUGGGAUUGGUUGUUCUUUGCAGCCGAGUUCUUCGUUCUCUCACAAAGUCCAGAGCCUUUGCCCGACUAUUACUGGAGAUGUCUGUUGUACUGAGCAGCAGUUUGAUAUUCUCCGGAGCCAAGUUCAGCAGGUACGAUGCACAAACUUUGGAGUUGCUUUGCUGCUACUCUUAAGUCGCGACUUUGGCAGGCUGUUCCUUUUUUGACUGGAUGCCCUGCGUGCUUGAGGAACUUUCUUAAUCUUUUUUGUGAGCUCUCUUGCUCUCCCGACCAGAGCCUGUUUAUUAACGUGACUUCUACGGUCCAGGUUCGUUUCGUUUCUAUUUGUCUUUUGCCAACGAACAGUUUGCAGCAAAACUCUACCACGUCUACUGUAGACGGCAUUGAGUUUUUCCUUUCCGAGGAGUUUGGAGUAAAUCUCUUUAACUCCUGCAAAGAUGUUCAAUUUGGAGCUCUUAAUACUCGAGCAAUGGACUUUGUGGGUGGCGGAGCGAAAACAUACAAAGGUAUUUUUUUUUUCUCUCUUUGCAUUUUUGGCUUGAGAACGACUCUCUGUGUAGAGUGGCUUGCAUUUAUUGGCCGGCAGGCUGAUUUAUAUGAACCUGGAUCACCUUAUUACAUCAAGUUCCACACGUCAGCUAACGAGUCCUCGCCAAUGUCACUCCUCAACACGAAAAUGUUUCCAUGCUGGGAUGCGUCACUCUCUUGUUCGUGUGGCGACUGCCCGGGGGCCAAGGAAUGUACAGAAUCCUCUUUACCACCAUCUCCUCAGAAGAACGCUUGUAGUGUCGAAAUUGGCGGGACAAAGGUUCGCAUCUUAUCAGAAAUUGUGCCCAUCAGUAUCAAGCGUUUUUCUCUUUCCAGAUUCUAUGUAUAGACCUGGGGCUUGGAAUCUUAUACCUUCUGUUAUUAGUGGGAAUUGUGGCUUGGCUAUGGGUUACUACUCGUCGUUACGAAGAACCUUCUGACGCAGAGAUUAGAGAGGAACUUUUGCAAUCAGAAGAGACGAAUGGGGUGGAAAUUACCCCGGUUGAGGUGGUGCAUUAAUUCAUGUUCUUCAUCACCUCAUGUUUUGUGUGUUGCAGGGACUGGAAAAGGACGAAACAUCCACACCUGAAUCUCAUGAACCUGUUCUGGAAAAGUUUUUGUCGAGAUGGUUCAGGUGCGAGCCUCGUGCUUUAAUUGGUUUGUUGUUAUAACCUUUUACGCUCGCCAGGUCGCAGGGAACGUGGAUCGCUAGACACCCUGGUGUGGUUCUGCUUCUGUCGAUACUCGUGACCAUAAUUCUGUGCAUUGGGCUUGUCAAAAUGAAUGUUGAAACGAACCCUGAAAACGUAAGCAUUUCAGUCAUUUUUUUGUGUUUUUUUUUUCAAACUCACAUAUUUCGUGCAGCUCUGGGUUAGUCCCGGGAGCGCAGCAGCGACAGAAAAAAAGUUUUUUGAUACGGAGCUUACUCCUUUCUAUAGAAUUGAACAGGUAAACGUGAGCAUCGCCUCAUGCCUACUCAUGCUUUGCAUUUUUAGCUGAUCUUGGCAACCCUUCCGGAUGAAAACGGAGUGUCUCCUCCUAUUUUGACAGAUGACAACCUUAAGCUUAUGUUUGAAAUCCAAAAUAAGGUAAAAAUUAUUAGAUUUGUGCUCGCAGUAAUUCAUAAAAGCAGGUUGACGAUUUGAGAGGAAACCUUUCUGGAAGAACGGUUUCUCUCCAAGAUAUUUGCAUGAAACCUUUCGGAACAGUUUGUGCUACGCAAAGUGUUCUGCAGGUACGCAACUGUCUUCCCUGACUCUUAAUAAUUUGUGUUGCUGCUGCAGUAUUAUAAGAUGGACCGCCAAAAAUUUGACGACGAUGAGGGAGCGAGCCAUGCGGCAUUUUGCUUUGAUGUAAACUUCUCCAAAAACUCGAGAUGCUUCUGUUUCUCUAAUAUGCUUUUUUACUUGAUUAAUUUUUCUUUCAGCAUUACUCGUCCUCGGAAAAUUGUCUCAGUGCAUACCAGUCGCCUGUGGAUCCUAGUACAGCCGUUGGUGGUUUCGAAGGCACAAAUUAUACUCAGGUAUAAAAAUAACUUCGAGAGUGUUAAUGAUUUUCUCUGAAUACGUAGGCUACUGCGUUUGUUGUAACAUAUCCCGUCAACAAUGCUGUGAGCAGCACCGAAGGUGCAAAUGAUGCUGCUAUUGCCUGGGAGAAGGCUUUUGUGCGUUUGGCAAAGGUAAGGAACUUACCUCGAUAUAUGUGUUCUAUUCCAUGAAAUUCGCAGAAAGAGCUUCAGCAAUUGGCAAGUUCACACAACUUGACUCUCGCAUUUUCGUCUGAGAGCUCUGUACAGUCCGAGCUAGAGAGAGAAAGUUAUGCGGAUGUUGUAACGAUUCUUGUAAGUGUUUCAAUGAUGGAUUCAUUUUCUUGAACAAUGGCUUGCAGGUGAGCUAUCUGGUUAUGUUCUUGUAUAUAUCCUUCACUUUGGGAGAUUCAUUACCAGAAGUUGCUCCGUUUUAUGUCACGUCCAAGGUUGGUUUCGCGAAACUUCGACUCCAAAUUAACAUUGAGUUGCAGGUGUUUCUUGGUUUAGGAGGGGUUAUCAUUGUUGCACUCUCAGUUCUAGGAUCUGUUGGUUUUUUCAGUGCUGUUGGUGUUAAAUCCACGCUUAUCAUUGCUGAAGUCAUUCCAUUUCUUGUCCUUGCGGUAAGCUAUUGUUACUUGGUCCGUUAGAUUAGAAUUGAUCAAAUGCUGCUUCAGGUGGGAGUCGACAACAUGUGUAUUCUAGUGCAUGCGCUUAAACGCCAGGAACCUGAACUUCCUCUCGACCUUCGAGUUGGAAAUGCUCUUGCCGAAGUAGGUCCAUCUAUCACACUCGCAAGCCUUGCAGAGUUCUUAGCUUUCGCUAUUGGAUCGUUCACGCCCAUGCCUGCCUGCCGUGUGUUUUCUAUGUUCGCGGGUAAAUGUUGCAAGUUUCCCGACUUGUACUUACACUCUCUUUGAAUGCAGCUUUUGCGAUACUCUUAGAUUUUCUACUUCAGAUUACGGCUUUUGUUUCUCUUCUUACUUACGACUUUACGAGAACUGAAGCGAACCGCGUAGAUUGUUUGCCUUGUAUCAAAGCCCGACAGCGUGACUACAAUGCAGGAUACCGUAUGUAGUUCCCAUCUGUGCUCUGCUUUUGACAUAAUUUCAUUUUCCAGCGAACCGUGAAGGACUCAGAGGGGAAGGAGGAGCUGGUCUAGUUUCUGUUUAUAUGCAGGUAACAUUUCCGCUUUUUUUAAAACUACUGCAGCGUGUUUGUUUCAGAAAGUGCACGCACCGCUCCUUCUCAAGCCUGCUGUGAAGGCCGUUGUCCUGGCAGCUUUUUCUGCUCUACUUCUAGUGAGCAUCGUAAGUAGAUGAUGACGAAAUUUUUCUUGUUGCUCACGUCUUGGUUAUGAAGGCACUUGCUGUAAGGCUUCCGGCUGGUCUGAACCAACAAAUUGUCCUUCCUCGGGAUUCUUACUUACAGGUAAUGCGAUAUGCUGUAUGAAAUGAAUCUAUGAACGUUUCUUGCAGGGUUAUUUCAAUAACGUGACAAGUCAUUUAAGAAUAGGACCUCCUCUCUAUUUUGUGGUUCAAGACUAUAACUACAGGUUCGCAGUUUUUGUCGUCUAGUUUCAUCUAAUAACUAGCUUUGACUAUGCAGCGCACGAAGUAAUCAGACCAACAAAUUGUGCUCUAUCAGUCACUGCCAUCCAGACUCACUGCUUAACGAGGUCUCGAGGGCCGCCCUUACGCCUCAGACAAGCUUCAUAGCUAGACCGGCGGCUUCAUGGCUAGAUGAUUUUCUCGUUUGGCUGUCUCCGGAUGCCUUUGGAUGUUGUCGUACUUUCCCUGACGGCAGUUACUGCCCUCCUGAUGAUCAGGUAUCGUGCUUUCUAGUUUAUUUCUAUGGUUUGAGAGCUGUUGACUCUGCCAGCCCCCUUGUUGUCCCGAAUGGGAGGACUACUGCGGUUUGAGUGAGACUUGCAAGGACUGCACUACGGUACGUUUUAUCUUGCUUUGAAAUUUAUAUUGCGUGCUCAAAUGACAUAUCUUUGUUUUUGUAGUGCUUCCUCCAGUCUGAUUUGAUCGACGGGCGUCCUACCACUGAGCAGUUUAGAAAGAAACUACCAUGGUUCUUGGACGCGUUGCCGUCUGCCGAUUGUUCGAAAGGAGGUCGAGGCGCAUACUCCAACAGCCUCAACUUGAGUGGUGAGUAAGAUCAUCUCUAGUUUUGUUCUUAUAUCUCGUCCUUUGAACAGGUUACAAGAAUGGAACUAUUAGAGCAUUUGAGUUCCGCACCUAUCAUACAGCUCUCAACAAACAAACUGACUAUAUUGAUGCGUUGAGAGCUGUGAAGGACUUCACCGCUCGCGUGUCCAAGUCACUAAACGUGAGUACUUACAACUUUAAGUUUUCUUUUUUCUUAUGAAUGUUCGUGUGCAGAUAUCAGUUUUUCCAUAUUCAGUUUUCUAUAUUUUCUUCGAGCAGUACUUAGACAUAUGGAAGAACACACUGAUCAGCCUCGUGCUCGCAGUUGGUUCGUAGUUUCUGUGGCUUGCUUGGUAUAAUCUAACUGUGGCAAUUGUGAAUUUCAGCUGCCGUAUUCCUCGUCUGUCUAGUUGUGACCACCAGGUUCGUGAUCAAUCACUUUUCGCAAGGUCUAAAACGUUUUUCUGGAUUUUUUUCUUCUGCAGCCUAGCUACGGCAGGAAUCAUCCUUCUCGUCAUUUUAAUGAUAGUCAUCAACUUACUCGUAAGAACUCGAAGUGAAAAACUCUCGGUUGUUUCAUAACGCGAUGAACUUGUGAGUCACAGGGGCUCAUGUCAAUCUGGACCAUUCAGCUGAAUGCUGUUUCGGUCGUCAAUCUCAUCAUGUCCGUGGGGAUUGCCGUGGAGUUCUGCGUUCACAUCACGCACGCAUUCUCGGUUAGCACAGGCGAUCGAUCAAUGCGAGCAACAAAAGCUCUGACAACAAUGGGAGCCUCCGUGUUCAGGUCUGGUAAAACAUUGUCACUUGCUUUGUUUGAUCUUUUUUCUUGGUUUCUGCAGUGGGAUCACCUUAACCAAACUCGUCGGAGUCGUGGUUCUCGUCUUUGCUCGCUCGGAGAUCUUUGUGGUAACGAUUUAAAACUUGCUUUUGGUUGAUUUGUUCUAAGCUUGGAGUUCUCAGGUCUACUACUUUCGAAUGUAUUUCGGCUUGGUGGUUUUGGGAUUUCUCCACGGCCUCGUCUUUCUUCCAGUGAGUCGAGAUUAUUUCUUCUUCUUCUUCUUCUUUGUUCUUGGUUCUCACGCAAGAACUUUUUUUCUCUCCAGGUUCUCUUAAGCAUUUGCGGUCCGCAAUCAGUAAGCGUUAUGGAUUGAUCAAAGCAAAGAAAACGAGCUUUUGUACAUUUGAUAGAAUUCACUAAGUUAGAAUAAACGAGUGAAAAAGUCCGUUAGCGAGCUGUGGUAUAAAAGCUUCUAGGGUUUCGCGGGUAGGGCAGGGAGCGAAGUAGGAGCGACGAUGUGCGCGCUCGAGAAUCCGGGCGCGGCGCUGUGCGAUCACGUCCAGCGCCAUGGCCUCCAGGGCCAUCUCUUCUCCGACAUCACGGUUUGCUUCCAGAGCAAGGAUUACAAGCUCCACCGGAUCAUCCUCUCGCAGAGCCUCUACUUCAAAUCGCUGCUGUCCGGACCCUGGAAGGAAUCCGGUAAGCCGCGCGUGGAGCUCAAGAUUGACGAUCACAAUGUGACGGUGGAGGGAUUGGAGAUCGCGUUUGCGUACUUGUAUGGAGUGGAGCCGGCGUUUAGCAACGAGAAUGCGGUGGGCGUUCUUGCGGCUGGAUGCUUCCUGUGCAUCGAGAAUUUGUGCGAGCAGUGCGUCCAGUUCAUGGUGAGUGAUAUCAGAGUGGAGACUUUCCUGGCUUAUCAGCAGCUGUCGGAGCGGCAUUGCUAUGGACACCAUGCUGAAGGAAUUCGCGAUGCCUGCUGGAGCUACCUUUGUUUCCAUGCUGCUCGAGAGCUCUCCCACGUACUAUCCAAGCUUUCUCUUCCGGUAAGUCGUGUUUCUUCCUUCCUUUUGUAUGUCUUUCCCGCUAGAGAAUGUUUUGAAAAGUUUUUUUGGUUUGUGAAAAGUUCUGAUGGAUUUUUUUUUUUCCAGCUGCUUUGCCGGCUACUAAAGUCUGACGAGCUCUGGGUGACGAACGAGUCGGAGAGAUACAAGCUUGCGAAGCAGGCUUUAGUAGACUGGAAGCUUUCGCGGAGACCUUCCAAUGUGGAGGGUGGAUCGUCAAAGAGGCAGCGGGUUGCAAAGUCGAACUCCGCAAGGAAGGCCGCCAAAACAGCCUCGGGCAAGAGCAAGGACAAAGGCAGCAAGCCAAGCUCCAAGGACAAAACCAAGAAGAAAGGCGAGGCCUCGAGCGAGCAGAAAGCCGCCUCGUCGCAGCAAAAGGAGGAUUUGAGCUCGACCCCGCUAAAAAUGUUGAGAAGGCUCUGGGACGAAGACACGGCCGAGGAAGCAGCAGAGGUUUCAUCAAAGGACGGGUUUGAGAUGGUGAUGGACUUGUUCUGCGGUGGGGGCAUCACCUUUGCUUACAUGGACGCCAACGAGGGGCUCCAGGCGAGAAAAGAGCUCGAGGACGCCAACAUGCCGACGGACGUCGUCAACGACGCGAUAUGGCAGAACGUUUUGCUCAAGACCCGGGUGCUCGGAGGCACACCUUGCGAGGAGGAAGAAGAAGACUCCGACUCCUCCGAGUCGGGCGUGUCCGGCAGCUCCUCCGAGUCGAGCGAGUCGGACUGGAGCAGCCCGGACGAGGACGAGGCCGGCAACGCGAGCAGCGGCGGUGAGGACUCCGGCUUGGACAGGGCAGCAGCGAGCAGUGCCGCGACGCUGGUGCCUUUCUCAACCGUGGACGAGUGUUCGUUCGAUGGCAAGAGGAGGAAGAGCACGGGGGGAUUCAGCUGGUCCGCGAAGCUCCACAGCGGGAUGCAGAUGAGCGACUUCCCGCCGUUUCGAUUCGGGACGGAGUUUACGUUCACGGACAAGGCGUGGUACUGCUCAAACAUGGAGAAGGACGUGUUCUUCGGGGGCUCGAGGUGGAAGGUGACGAUGUCUUGCACCGGGGACGAGACCUGGUGGGUUGCGUUGCACUGCCGGCCAUGCACGUAUCCCUUCCAGCCGCAUAUGUACGUGGACCAGCGAAAGGUGGUGCGCUUCGCCGCCAAGCUUUUCAUGCGGACGUCGAGCGGGCUGCAGUGCGUGACGGGGACGGGGCAGAGGAAGUGCAAGUCCCACGUCGGGGUCACCUUGAGCGCCAAGGACAUUCCGAGAGACAAGCUCUUCCGGGUGGUGGCGGCGGUCCAGCUUAUGGAGGACGAGAGCAAGGCGAAGACGCAGGCCAAAGACGAGGAAGCUUGACAGGCUGCUGCGCUUCGAGAUCCUCCUGGAUCGUCUGGAUCCCGGCCAGCUUCCAGCGGAGCAAAUAAUUUUGAGGUAGACAUCCAUCCCUUCUCUUUUCGUUUUCUCGCUUCCAGUCGCUGCUUGUUCAUGCCGUGGUAUAUGGUUGUUUUAGUGAGAGGUGAUGAAGAACACAACGCGGCUAGCUGCAGAGAUUUUUAUUUUGGCGAAGUAUUCAAACGGUAAAGCUUCACGAAAACGUAGGGAAAAUUUAUUUAGCCUCGACUUUCUUCAUGUUUUAACACCUAUAGCUGUUAGUUUGUAAUUGCAUAGAAACGUUCCACUCACAGAAGAGGCGAGCUCGCGAGUACUCGCGAUUCCGGAGUGACGAGUUUGCUACGCCUUUACGAGGACAAAACGAGAAAGAGUACACAGGUAGAGCACGGAACAAGGUUUGGUUCUCUAUUUCAUGGGGGACCUGAUGAACAGCAACGCAGCACCAGUGAUACCACGCAGGACCAGCAGCCGCGAGUCGACGUAAGUCGCACAGGCGAGCUUGGACACUGCAAAGAUCUCUUUUGGGAGCUGGAGCCGGACCUCCUGCACGAUCCGGCGGGCCAAGUCCGCGUCCGGCAGCGCCUCCUCCAGCUCCAUGCCGAUGUCGAACUCGUCCACGUCCAGCCGGAUGAUGGGGAGCGACUUUGGCGCGUCCUUUGGGAGGAAGUGGCCCAGUCCUUUGCGCUUUCUGGUUGCCGAGCUCUCCACUUCUCGCAGCCUCUCCAGCGCCGGGCUCUGGUCGAUGACUUCGGUGUCCGUUUGGUAGAGGCGCUCGCCUUGCCGGAGCUGGAUGUUUGUGGCGUUGAUUUGGAUCCGGCCGCUGUUUCCAGACUUGUCGUGAGGCCAGUUUGUGUCGCUCGGGAGCACUGUGAAGGUCACGUCCACUGUCGAGGCGAGAGUUUGGCUUGUCACGGAGAUGGUUUGCAUUACGUCUUUGAUGAGAACUGGCGGAGAAGCCUGUUGGAGAAAGGGAUGAAAGUUACUCCUUGAGAAUGAGAAUUUCUUACCUGUCGCAUUGUAAGUCCAAUUUGCCUGCUUGUGUGAUAGAUGAGCCUCCAUUUUCCUGGUAGCGUUUUCAUCCAAUCCUGUAGAUCAAUAUCAAUAUCAACUUGACUGGAGCUCUGAUCUUUUACCUCGAGUCUUGUCGUGAAAUUGACUCGUUCUAGAAGAUCAAUGAGUUGUGCUAGCCUGUUUCGCUGGUAGCAUUGUUUUAGAAGAUAUAAAGAUAUAAAUUGUGAGUGUACCUGAUGAGUCAUGUAAAUGUAUUCUUCUACAAUUCUAAUCGCAGCGGAGCCUAGACUCCAGCGUAUCAUAUCAAUGGAGGAAUUCACUGGCCACCUUGGUCCACACAGAAACGGAUGCCUUAAUGCAUCUGUGCAACUGUCGUAAACACGAAACAGUUAUAAGCCUAUCUUCGUCGUUCAAAGGAGAUGGUCGAUACAAAGGUACCUGAUUCGGUUUCCAGGAUCAAUAGCAAGCAUGGCUGCUAACAAAUUCCAGCCAGCGCCACCAUCUCUAUCGAGAAUCUACAAAAGGAAAAAAAGUUUUUAACCAGAGAUAAAUUAUCCGACUCAAACCUGUAAGCCUGUGCUCCCAGAAGGCGAUUUGGAAAGUAAAUGGGGGAGGAGGAACUCACGGAGGCCUACAGGAUCAUGGCCCUGUAUUAAACAACGCGGCGUAAGAGCGUUUCUCACCGUAGAAACGAGAGAACCUUUCUAAGAAAGGUUUUGAAGUGCGAAAAAAUUAAAGGAUCCAUGAGUUCCCGGAGGACCAUUCGUGCCAUCACAUAGCCUACGCAUCUGUAGCUUUUUCACGUUAACCCUCAGGUUUCUAAAGAAAAAGCCUUUACCUUAUGUCAUAAGCGAUGAUUUGCUUGCGACGAUUCUUGAGCUGACUCCCAGAUGGCACAGUAACUUGAUCAUCAACUUCGGAAAAUUCUACUGCAUUUGCUAAAAUUCCAACCUGUGCAUUCCAACUCUUGGUUAAAUUCCCAUCACGAAAGCUACUUGCCUUGACAUGCCUAUCGGCCGCACUAAUGUGAAUAUUGUUCAAUCGUAAUUCAGUGUGAGCAAGACCUUGGCUAUGUAAAUAGUUUACCUACAAACAGUCGAUUAGAAGCAACGAAAAAAAAAACCAUGAAAUCAGAAGCUUACCCCGAUUAAAAUGUCGCGCAUUAUCAUUCGAACAAGUCGAAGUUGUCGAGUCACCUCCGGGCCACCAGUUGUAUGAUCUCCCACUCUUCGAGCAGCUUCCUCGCCGAGUGCAAGCCUUUGCUCGAGAUUUGGCAGCCAGUCCACACAAAGUAGCCAUUGGUGUAAAGAGCAUCCAUAGUACUGCAAAGAAAACUUUCUUCGUCAAGAACAACGGAGUGAGAAAUUAUCGAAGAACUUACACCAUGGACAAGCGUUAGAGAAUCUUGGUCGGACGACGGAAUAAAGCCAUGCACUCGUGUCGCAUAAGAAUGAAAUAUAUCUUGCUUACAAAUCAGUUUGGAGACUAUCUGAAAGGCUGUCAAAGAUUUUUUUCUCGAGCGACAAAGAAAAGUACUGACCUCUAGAGCUCGUUUUCCUCUACGCUGAGCUCGAGCACCGGUUAAUUGCCUGAGAACCACUCGCAUGCCUUUCAAGUCACUGCAAAAGAAAUCUUAAGAUUCAAUUGCCAGAAAAUAAAAUCACGAAGUGAAUCAACCUGCUGGGACUUUGCACCACUCCUUCAAACAAGAGCUCAUCGCUCUAAGAAAACCAAACCAAAGUUCUAUAAGUCAGAAAGAAGACUACCAUUAAAACAAUACUCACUCUCCCUGACAAGCCGAUGCUAACGUGAGGACAGAGCGAAAAAUCCGAGAGCUUGAACUCCUUGUAGCUCGCCGGACUCGCUUCAGCCGCAUUCUUGGAGGAGCAAAUGAUAGCUUUCGAUCGACUUCCAAUUGACGAGCACCCCGCUGAUCCCAGCGAUGACAGCGGCGUCAAAGGCCUUGGAUCACGCAGCCAGAGAUCAGCGCGGCUAGAGAUCGCCAUGCCGCGAUCGAUCCAGCUGACCUAAAACAAAACAGAGAUGUGUAUAUGCACAUUUGAUAUUUCAAAGCACCCAAUGCGAUAUAGCCACGUGGAAGCUUACACAGCACACGCCAGCGUAGGCCAGCCACGGUAUGCCACGGUUCUGCCACCUGGGAUUACAUGCCACCCUAAGGCCACGUGGAUAUCUGACACGCGUCAGAGUAUCUCUGCUAAACACGUGGCAGCAUUAUUUUAGGGUUCUAGUACAAGAAUGGCCAUGGUAGCGCGCAUUUGGUCUUCAUCUCUAUUUCCAAAGGCGCUGUCCAAGAAAUCGGCGAGGUAACUGCAUUGGAGAGAAGAAGAGGAUCAAGAUUUGGAGGUGUGACUCUCUUUUAGGCAGAUCUUGCUCGCAAAUGGCGUCGUCCCAGCAAGAGCAUUGCUCCACCAAGCAGUCGUCGCUACUCCCUGGCUGCGCGGAUUCCAAUGGCACCUCGCUCUUUGCAAAAAUGUUCGCUACAACAGCUGGUAAGUGCGUGAUUGUCUCGAUCGAAGUUUUUUUCUUCUUUGAUUUUCUUCUUCAAGCAAGGAGAUAAUUUUCUUUCUUCUCUUUGCUUUUUCCAUAGCAGCUUGUUCUUUCCUCUUUUCUUUCUGCUCGUCCCAAGUUUUUUUGUUUUGUUCUCCUGAGGAGCGUGAUUGUCUCGAGCGAAAUUUUCUUCUUCUUUGAUCUUCUUGUCGAACAACGAUUCCUGUUGCUUUUUCAUGGCAGCUUGUUCUUUUCUUCUUUACUUUCGUGGUGCUCGUCUCAUGUUUCUUGUUUUGUUUUCCUCAGGAGCUGGAAACUAUCGGAGUCUUCCGGCACAAACUAGUACAGGCGAUUUAACCGUCUCGUCCCUCGGACUAGGAACAUACCUCGGUCCAGAGACCGAUGUCGCGGAUGAAGAGUACAAAAACGCUGUUUUGCGUGCUCUGGCGCUCGGGAUCAAUGUGCUUGACUCGUAAGUUUGAUCGCAACAUUUUCAUUUCGAUCUUCUCCUGAUCGAUGCUUUGCCUGUUCUGUGUAGAGCGAUAAACUACAGGAACAUGAGGAGCGAGAGAGCCAUAGGACUCGCUCUUGCUGAGGCCGUGUCCCGGGGAGUGGUAAAGAGAAAUCAAGUCGUGGUUUGUACCAAGGGUGGCUUCUUAAGCUUUGAUACAAUCCGUCCUCCAAAUCCUCGGGGCUGGAUCGAAGAAAAUUAUGUCCGGCCUGGUAUUUUUGCGUGGGAGGACUUCGUGGCUGGCUGUCACUGCAUGAAACCAGAAUACAUCAAGAAUCAGGUUGGAAGUUUUAUGUAUCUAGAACUUGACUCCUCUUUUUGUUUUCUUCUUUUGUUUUGUAGCUAGACAAGAGUCGAGCCAAUCUGGGCUUAGAAACCAUUGACGUUUACUACAUCCACAAUCCAGAAACUCAGCUCGGGGAGGUGUCCCGUGAAGAGUUUUACAAGCGGAUCAAGGCUGCGUUUACGGUGCUGGAAGAAGCUUGUAACGAAGGCAAGGUUGGGAUCUAUGGGAUCGCAACAUGGAAUGGAUUUCGAGUUCCACCCGAGUCGAAGGGCCACCUUUCACUGGAAGAACUAGUUCGCGCUGCGUAUGAAGCUGGUCAGUCGUUUCACUUGUUUGUAAUGGUUUUUGUUCUGAUCAAAGGUUUUUUGCUUGUUUUCCAGGAGGAGAAAGACACCACUUUAAGAUCCUUCAGCUCCCAUACAACAUGGCGCUUCAGGAAGCAGCGAAUAGCCAAACGCAGCUCGUGCAAGGGAUCAAAAUGACAUUGUUGCAAGCCGCGAAAGAGCUUGGUAUCUCAGUCGCGACUUCAGCAUCGCUGAUGCAGGCAAGUUCUCAUGGAAAAGCUUGCACUUUUUCUUCUCUUUUUUCUUGCUUCGGUUCUUAUAAUGGCUCGUUUCGUUAGGCAAAGCUUUGUAACUCUAUCCCGGCCGAGGUCCUCAAAGAAUUCUCCCAAGGCGACAAGGCGCUCACUGGCGCUCAGUGUGCCUUACAGUUCGUGCGAACCACGCCAAACGUUCUUGUAGCACUCGCGGGCAUGCGCAGAGUAGAGCACGUCGAAGAGAACGCCAAGCUCAUCGAGCUUUCGGCGGAGCCCAGCACACUUCACAAUUGAAAACACCAUUUCUUCGGUAUGUCUUGAACCGGAAUUAUAUUUCUAUCGCAAGCUAUAGCCUGGAGACAUUAACUUUGAUACCAUUCACCAUUGCUAACACCAUGAGCAGCCUGUAGUGGACAACGUGAUCCUUCACUAGCUCAAAGUUAAAGAACCUCAUGAGCAUCGCGGCAGUGAUCUUGGCCUGCAAGUAAGCGGCAUCCUUUCCCAAGCAAAUUCUCGGCCCGGCCUGGUAGAGUUUUCAAGUUUUAGCCGUGAUGAACUAGAGAUAAAGAGAGAUCUCUCAUACCUGGAAUGCGGUGUAGACGAAUGGUGAUUGAGGCUGGUAUUCGGAGUUUUUAAUCCACCUCUCCGGCUUAAACUCUAGAGCGUCAGGUCCCCACAGAAACUCCAUUCUUCCCAUGGAGUAUUGCACGUAAGCCACAGAAUCCCCACGUUUAACUUUAGUCCCGUCCGGAAGAACAUCAUCGUUGGCUGCAUACUUUCCAUCCUGGAGAAAGCUCAAGUUAGUCAGCUUUUUACUGGUGUAAAGAAAGCUUGGUGGGACUUACUCGUGGUACCGGCGGGUAUAAACGAAGAGUCUCGCUGAUGCACGCGUGCAAGUAGUGAAGCGUGCGAAGAUUCUCAGUGGAGAGGAGCUGUGCGAAGGCACUGAAAGUCAGUGUGUUGCUCUCACUCCCAAAGGUCCGGUCUAACUCGAGGCGAAUCUCUUUGGCCACUCGAGGAUUGUUGCAAAUGCAGUAGAUAAACCAGGACAAAGUGAUGGCCGUCGUGUCUCGUCCAGCAAUUAUGAAGUUGAGGAUGGCGUCACGAAGCUCUCUGUCUUGAUACGCAUCGCUUGCUCCAGUGGAAGUCAUGAAUCGGGACAAGAGGUCCUGCCUUUCCUGGAAGACAAAACUGUAAGAAAAAGUCGUAUUUGGGAGGAAAAAACUUACGUAUUCCUUGCCAGAUUUCUCGCAGGCUUCAAUCUCUCGUCGUCGGUUUUCGAUCACCUGGAACGUGAAUGAGUCCAGUACCUGGAUCUGGUUCUUUAGCUCCCGCUCAGAGCCCAGGUUGAGAGCUCGUAGGAUUUUCCACACUGGCCCGAUUAAGCGACGCACGAUCAGCUCGUUAACUCGGUCAAAAGAAGCUGCGAAGGGAACUGCUGGUAAGGAAGGUGACAGAGUGUUUAGUUCCACUCCAAACGCAACCUCGCAGAUAGAAUCUAAUGUCAUUCGCAUGGAUAUGUCCUGCCAAAGAAAAAAAAUAUUUCGAGCUUGAGAUUGAAAUGCUAUUUCUCUCAUAGACCAUACCUGGAAGUCGAAAGAGGUUUUCGUGCUUGCAAUAUUUUCCAACACUUCCAUCAUUCUCACAGCAGCCUUCUUGAAAACUUGGCCACUGUACUCGUUCACCUUCUUGGACGAAAAUUCGUAGCUUGCAAGUUUGCGGUGCCGUUUCCACAUCUCCCCGUCCGAAUUGAAGAUUCCAUCUCCCAUAAAGUCGUAGUUCCUGGCGCGCGAGACACGUCCCUACUCACCAUACCGCAAGUAAGAACUUGAAUCAGUAAAAACGAAUCAUACCUUGGGAUAGUUAGCAAAAUUUGUCUUGAGAAUGUGCUCGACGUUGGCAGGGUCGAUCGUGAGAAUGUUGUAGAAGGUCCCCCAGUCCACUGCAAUCGUCCUACACUCGCUGCUGAAAUAGCUAAGGAACCAGUCGUGAAGCACUGGGAAGUUCUUCACGACUUGGAAGUAAGAACCGACCAGAGGCCAUCUCUUUGGUCCCUUGUGAUUUCUUUUCUCCGCAGAAAGAAGCACCGCGAGGAAGACCGCAGCAGCAAUUCCUGUGAUGAAAACCAGAGGAUUUGGAUAGGAAAGACCUUCGAAAACGCCGCUGAUGUUACGAACUUUGUCGGUGGAGUUCAUGGCCGUGAGGGAGUUGAGGACGGAAGUGAAAUGGAUGGAUCCCUCCCUCUUAAAGAGUGGUGGUAGGCAAGUCAGCAAUACUGGGCUUAAUCGCACUGAUGGAGUUUUGUAGAGUGCGCGACAAAGUCCACGGCCUACAAAAUCACAGUGUGAAGCGCGAUGCAGCAAGUGAUAUAGAACAAUACCUUGGAAGAAACCGCGAUCUUACCGAAUCUUAAGCCAUGAAACUUCGUUUCAUUGAAAACAAGUCAGACUCCGCGUCAGCUUUAGAAAAACAGGACUUAUCGACGAGAAAAAUAUAUAAAACAUUACACGAUGGAAAAACAAGAGAAACUGUGAGGAAGUGGCACCAUAAAAGAGUUAUCUGGAGAUGAUUAGCCACUGCACCGUUGUUCACACUUAUGAGAUCAUGAUUCAUCACGGAAAGUGUAGAGAACAUAUGCCUGGAAAAACAUGAGAAGCUGUGAGAAAUUGGCACCAUAACACACUUAUGAGAUCAUGAUUCAUCACGGAAAGUGUAGAGAACAUAUGCCUGGAAAAACAUGAGAAGCUGUGAGAAAUUGGCACCAUAAAGAUUUUACCUGGAGGUGAUUCGCCAUUACACGUUGUGAAACUAUUCAUCAGCCAGCCAGUCAUCAGAUGACGAGGUAGGAGUGGACGACCAGAGGCGACAGGCGGCCAAGUUGUGAGGAUCCAAACGAAGAAUCAGUCGAGCAACUCUUCCUCCUCUUCCUACGUCUCCAUGAAUCUUACACGACCCCAGUAAUGCCAUCCAGGCAGCAGCAUCCGGCUCAAACGGCAUAUAGCUCAGCACUUCCUCUGAGUCCUCGAGCUGCCCGAGCCGUCCCAGAAGAUCAACGAUACAUCUGUAAUGCUCUAAGCCGGGACGCAGUCCAUAAUCGUCCUGGAGCGAGUGGUAAAACUCCAAGGCAUCGGUCACCAAUCCCGCGUGACUACUCGCGAACAAAACGCUCAGAAACGUAACUUGGUCGGAUAGAACACCCUCCUGUUCCAUCUCCCUGUAAACUCCGCAAGCUCUCAUCCCGUGACCGUUCUCGGCAAAGCUUCCCAUCAUGGCGUUCCAGGUGAUGAAGUUUCUCUUCUUCAUCCCCUGGAAAAACUCGAGAGCCGAGUCCAAGCUUCCGCAUUUCCCAUACAUGUUGACGAGCGCCGUCCCCACGACGAGGUCCGACUCGUAGCCGUGCUCGAGAAUGCCCGAGUGAAGAAGCUUGCCUUGUUUCAAUGCUAGCGAGUUUGAGCACGCGUCCAGAGCCGCAACGAACGAGGCCUUGUCGGGCUUCAUGCCACUGUGACUUAGCUUCCAAAAGAGCUCCAGUGCCUCGGUGUUGAAUCCAUUGAGAGCGUAGGCCGAGAUCAUGGCGUUCCAGAGGAUCACGUCCCCUUUUUCGUCUUCCCGCGACAGCUUCUCAAAAACUUGACUUGCCUCGUCCCAGCAACCAAAAGUUCCAUAGAGCUUGACGAGAGCUGUUCCCAUGAUGAUAUCAACCGGAAGUUUGGAGUUGAUAACUUCUGCGUGGAUGAUCCGGCCAGUUGCAAGCUCCUCGAGCUCCGCGCACGAAUCCAAGACGGUGACAAAGGUGACGCGAUUCGGCUCCACUCCUUCCACUCCCAUUAUUCGAAAAAGCUCGAUCGCCCUCUUGGCCUCGCCGUUCUGAGAGUAGACUGUGAUGAUCGCCGUCCACGAGACAACGUCGUGCUCGAGAAGGGGGAUCCCCUCGAAAACUCUCCGCGCGUCCUCGACUCGUCCACACUUUCCAUACAUGUUGACGAUCGACGUGAAAGCCAUGGAGUCGAGCCUGGAGCUUAGAGCUGAAUCCUCGAUGGAAGAGUGAAUCCCCUUGGCCAGAAAGAACUCUCCAAGGUUUGUGCAAGCGUCGAUGACAGUGAGAAACGAGAUCUCGUCAAUAUCGACUCCCUCGAGAUCCAUGAUAGUGAAGAGAUGAACAGCGUCUUUGCAAUGCCCGUUCUGGGCAUAUGCCGCCAUGAGAGAAUUCCAGGAUACCACAUCCCUCUCGAGCGUGUCAUCGAACAUCCUCUUGGCCUGCUGGACGAAUCCAUUCUGCCCGUAGGCAUUGAUCAUCACAUUGCAAGGGAUGGCGCUGAGCUCCGGGAUGGAAUCGAAGAGCAUCUUUGCCUGGCGCAUAAACCCUAGCUGGGCAAAUCCCCCGACUACCGCCGUCCACGCCACCGCGUUGUGGCACGGCAUCCUGGCCAGCAAAUCCCUCGCCUCCGCGAACAAUCCAUUCCUGUUGUGCGCCACCAGCAGCGCCGUCCAGGAGAAGACGUUCUUGCGGAAGAUCCGGUGGAAUGCCCGCUGCGCAUCGCCCAGGCAGCCGCAUUCGCCGUAGAGCUGCACGAGGAGAUUGCCCGGGAACGUCUCCCCGUCCGAUCCCGCCGCCCUGAGCUGAUCGUGGAUCCUCCUGCCGUCUGCGAUGGCGCCGGCCUUGAUCUUCUGCCUGAGAAGCGCGCAGUAGGCCGCGGAAUCGGGAUGCCUCAUUCAUCAUCGCGAUCCCGCCAAGACCAUAUGCCCAAGAACCCUAAAAUUUGCCCAGCAGCCCUAAUUUCUCGUGACAAUCGCCAAAAUUAUUUGGGCGGCGCUGGAUAUUUGCUUCCUACAUUUAGGAAUAAAACCAAAGGGUACGGCUUUCCCUAGCCCGACGGAGCUUAUUUACCAGCGAUCGUGGCCGUCAAUGCGGUGGUAGAUGGUAAAUUCUCCAUCUCUCGACCACGUGGAGCACACAAGCCGUGGCAAAUUGACUCUAGGGUUUAUAGAUCGACCGCUCGGAUCGUUCUAGGGCCGCGCAUUCUAUGCUCGCAGCUGCUUGGAAUCUCUGUCUGGCAGCUCCAAUCGUCCGGAAAGGUCAUCUCUCGCAAUAGCAACCUCGCGAUAUCGAUUUCAAUGCAGAUUCAGGCCUUUCGCCUCCCCGGCUGAGCUGCUUCCAUCGCGUCCGAUCCGUGCACUUCCGCGCCUCGAUCGCUUUGCGGCAGCGACAGGAGAUCGCAAUGGGUGAGCGCGAUGUCUGGAAAUUUCUCCUCUGACGCGAAAUUUGGCAGUGUCGGGGCAUCCAUUCGAGAGUAUUCUCACUUCCUUGUCCAAGGACGACGGUGGGGAGUAUGGGAAAUAUUACAGCCUUCCAGACUUGCAUGAUCCACGAAUUGGUAUGCUGGUGUUCUCUCUUGAUUUGAUCUGUCUCAAAUUUUCUCUCUUUUUCGUUCGAUUGCACAGAGAAGCUGCCUUACUCGAUCAAGAUUUUGCUGGAAUCGGCCAUUCGAAACUGUGACAACUUCCAGGUUACAAAGGACGAUGUAGAGAAAAUUGCCGACUGGGUUAACACUGCUCCAAAACUAGUGGAAAUUCCUUUCAAGCCUGCUCGAGUUAUCCUCCAGGUUUGGAAGCUAAGAAUCAAACAAUUGUGAUGUGACUUGUUCCAACUCUUGUGUAUUUGUUUUUUUCUUUUUCCUUCAGGAUUUCACUGGUGUACCAGCUCUGGUGGAUCUAGCUGCAAUGCGGGAUGCUAUGAAGAGGCUCGGUGGCGAUCCCACAAAAAUCAAUCCUUUGGUAAAACCUUUGUUCUUUCUUCUCAUGAGGAAAGUAUUUUAAAUCUUGGUUCUUGCUUUUAGAUACCUGUCGACCUCGUGAUUGAUCACUCCGUACAAGUCGAUGUCGCUCGCUCGGCUAAUGCUGUCGCGAGCAACAUGCAGUUUGAGUUUAAUCGCAACAAGGAAAGGUUUGCGUUUCUGAAGUGGGGAUCAGUUGCCUUCAAAAACAUGCUGGUGGUUCCUCCUGGUUCUGGUAUUGUCCAUCAGGUAUGAGCCCAGUUUUUAAAUCUGGAAGUUUACAUUUGUCAUUAUUGUCAGGUGAAUCUGGAGUAUCUCGCUCGAGUAGUGUUCAACAGAGAUGGCUUUCUUUAUCCGGAUAGCUUGGUUGGUACUGAUUCGCACACCACCAUGAUAGACGGACUUGGAGUUGCCGGAUGGGGAGUUGGAGGAAUCGAAGCGGAGGCAACAAUGCUUGGACAGGUAUUUUGAUUCAGGAUUUUGCAACAUCUAUCCGGAUUUUUCAAAUUCAUCCAUUUUUGUUACAGCCAAUGAGCAUGGUUCUUCCGGAAGUCGUGGGGUUUAAGCUAGUAGGCAAACUUCAGGCUGGAGUCACUGCAACAGAUCUGGUCCUUACUGUAACGCAAAUGUUGAGGAAACAUGGUGUGGUUGGGAAGUUUGUCGAGUUUUACGGUCUGUAUCUACUUGAGUUUUAUACUCCUAACGUUUUCCUUUUAUUUCAGGCGAGGGUGUCAGCUGCCUUUCACUAGCUGACCGAGCAACUAUUGCUAACAUGUCACCGGAAUAUGGUGCUACUAUGGGAUUUUUCCCUGUCGAUCAGAUGACCUUAAAUUAUUUAAGCUUGACAGGCCGUGAUGCAGAGAAGGUAACUUUAUACAUUUCUAAAAUAAAACCUUAUGAUUUAGUAUAAUAAUACAGGUGAAAAUGGUCGAAGCUUAUUUGCGUGCAAAUGAUAUGUUUGUGGACUAUUCUCAGGUAACAAGAUACUAUAGAAAUUUGCCUAACAGUUUUUUAUUAUUCGCGUAGAAACAACCUGAGACGGUCUAUUCAGCAUAUCUAGAGCUCGAUUUGGGAAGCGUUGAACCCUGCAUUUCUGGACCUAAACGGUUAGCUUUUGUCGAUUUUUGAUGGCUCGCUCCUUCUCUAACAUCCAACUUUUCUGUUAGUCCGCAUGAUCGGGUUUCUCUUAAGGACAUGAAGGCUGAUUGGCAGGCCUGCCUAGACAAUAAAGUUGGCUUCAAAGGCUUUAACAUUCCGAAGGAUCUUCAGCACAAGACCGCUCAAUUUACAUACGAAGGGAAGCCGGCAGAGCUAAGACAUGGGGAUGUCGUCAUUGCAGCGAUUACAAGCUGCACGAAUACAUCCAAUCCCUACGUGAUGCUUGGAGCUGGACUAGUUGCCAAGAAGGCAACGGAACUGGGACUCGAGGUAUGCCAUCAAUAUGUUCUCUAGAUGGUUAACUUAGUUUUAUAAGCAGGUUCGUCCCUGGAUAAAAACAAGUCUUGCUCCUGGUUCAGGCGUUGUUACGAAGUACCUUAUAAAAAGGUAAUUGUUUCAUUGCCGCAUGCCUGUAUUCUGAACCACAUGUAAGUACUGCAGUGGUCUUUUGAAGUACCUUGAUAUGCAAGGAUUUAGUGUUGUGGGAUAUGGGUGCACUACCUGCAUUGGAAACUCUGGCGAGCUGCAUGAGGCUGUGGCUACAGCGAUAGCGGAUAAUGGUACGUAGCUCUCUGCAUUUCCUCUUGUUACUUACUGUCCUCUGUCAACAGAUAUUGUUGCUGCAGCGGUCUUAUCGGGAAAUAGGAAUUUCGAAGGACGGGUGCAUCCCUUAACGCGGGCCAACUAUUUGGCUUCUCCUCCUCUGGUUGUAGCUUAUGCAUUAGCAGGAACGGUAAGCCUUUGUUUUCAGCACAACCGUGUUUUUAUGAUUUUCUUUGCAGGUAAACAUCGACUUUGAGAAGGAACCCAUCGGUGUUGGCCACUCUGGGAAACAAGUUUUCUUGAGAGACAUUUGGCCAACGUCGGAAGAAGUCGCAAAAGUAUGUAUUGUGAAUCACUUUCAUCUGUUUUCUUAAAACUCGUUCACUUCCAGGUUGCAGAAGCUUCUGUGUUGCCCGAAAUGUUCAAGUCUACAUACGAAUCCAUCACGAAGGGCAAUACUAUGUGGAAUGACUUGCCUGCUCCUACUGGAGAUCUCUACUCAUGGGAUCCUAAAUCAACGUACAUUCACGAGCCGCCAUUUUUCAAGACCAUGACUCGAGAUCCACCCGGUGUUCAUGGCGUUCACGACGCAGCCGUUUUGCUAAAUCUCGGGGACAGUAUCACUACCGAUCAUAUUUCACCAGCCGGGAGCAUCCACAAAGACAGUCCGGCUGCCAGAUAUUUGAUGGAAAGAGGCGUCGAGAGGAAAGACUUCAACUCUUACGGCAGCCGACGUGGAAAUGACGAGGUUAUGGUUCGUGGAACGUUCGCAAACAUCAGAAUUGUGAAUAAGCUGCUCAAAGGUGAAGUGGGACCAAAAACCGUCCAUCUUCCUUCUGGGGAAUGUCACUGGGUUUUCGAUGUGGCGCAGGUAUUUCUUCUAUUUCAUGUCUUUAAGAGAACUGAGGUUUCCUUUGCAGAAAUAUAAAGACGAAGGAAAGGAGAUGGUGGUUCUUGCCGGAGCAGAAUAUGGCAGUGGCAGUUCACGAGAUUGGGCAGCCAAAGGGCCCUUCCUUCAGGUUAGACCAAUUAAGUUUUCAAGCUAAAGUCAUGAUAAAGUCAUGAAUCGCUUUGUUGGCAGGGAGUGAAAGCUGUCAUCUCUAAGAGUUUCGAGAGAAUUCACCGGAGCAACCUUGUUGGAAUGAGCAUCAUCCCUCUGUGCUACAAGAAUGGCGAAGACGCAGAAUCGCUUGGUCUUACUGGACAUGAAACCUUCACCAUCGAGCUGCCAUCCACGAUCGAGGAGAUCAAGCCCGGGCAGGACGUGCUUGUGAAGACCAACACGGGGAAGGAGUUUACUUGCACACUUCGCUUUGAUACGGAGGUAUGAAAACUUUUCUUUUUUUUCUUUUUGCUAGUGGAGUUUUGAUCUUUGGCUUUACACUUGGCUAUGCACAGGUUGAGAAGACUUACUUUAAUCACGGUGGAAUCUUGCACUAUGUGUUGCGGCAGCUACUUGGCAGUGCUUAGACUAAAGGACUCUUUUGUGAAUUUGGAAUAACGUGCUUUUAUUUCUCAAACAAAUCUAAGUGUAGUAACAUCCUUGCUCUCAUGCUUGCAGCUCCUUGGCCAGCUCCUUUUUUAGUCUCAGCCUCUUCUUCUUGGAAGGCUUUGUGGACAACGCUGCCACAAUGCUCUUCAAGGCCGACGCGAUGCUGAUGCUUGCCGGUGGUGGCGAGCUCUCUUGUUUAGUUUCUGCUGCUGGAGGGGUCGUAAGAUCAUCGAUGUCUAUCGCCUUCGUGGCUACUCCAGGUUCUUCUCCUUCGCUGAUUACUGCUGGUUUUUCGGUUUUGCUAGCGGCUUUUGGAUCCUCUUGUAGCAGCGGACUCUCUUCCUCGCUGGUGGGAGUCGUUUCCUCGACUUGCUCUUUGUCUUCCUUCUGAGCGUCUGCUAGCUCGUCUUCGACAGUGAUGGGAGCUGCGUCAUCUGGAGCAGUGAUAGCUUUGUCUUUGGCUGGUGUGAAAUCUUCUGGUACUCUUUCAGCUUCUUUCUCUUUCUCUUCCUCUUGAGUUCCUUCGUCUUUGGCAGUGAUGGGAGCUGCUUCGUCUGGAACAAUGAGAUCUUUGUCUUCGCCUGGUGUGGAAACUUCUGGUACUGCUUUCUCUUUGUCUUCCUCCUGAGUUUCUGCGAGCUGAGUUCCAUCGUCUUCGGCAGUAAUGAGAGCUGCUUCGUCUAGAGCAAUGUCGCCUUUGUCUUCGGCUGGUGUUGUUGCUUCUUCCUUGUCGUUCUCGUGGACGAUGCUUGUUGUUUCGAGCUCCUUAGCCUUCUGAUCCUCGCGAUUCUCUGCUGGAUGAGUUCCUUCACCAGCAGCUACCGCCGCUUCUUUCUCUUCGUCCGCAGAUACUAUUGUUUCUUCAACUGUUGCUUCUUCAUCUUUGCCCGCUUCUUGGUCCGGAAAGGUGACAUCUGCGUCGUGAAAUUCUUCCUUGUCCGGACUUAUACCUUCUGCUACUUGAGUUUCGUCGUGCACCUCCUCCUUGUCCGGAAUUGUAUCUCCUGCUACUUGAGUUUCGUUGUGCACCUCUUCCAUGUCCGGAAUAAGAGUUUCCUUGUGCACCUCGUCCUUGUCCAGAAUUAUAUCUUCGGCUACUUGAGUUUCGUCGUGCACCUCUUCCUUGUCCGGAAUUAUAUCUUCGGCUACUUGAGCUUCAUCGUGGAUCUCUUCUCUGUCUGGAAUUAUGUCUUCUGCUGUCUGAGUGCUCGUGGAAAGAGCAUCCGUUUGGAGAACUGUUGUUUCUUUCUCUUUCUCUCCGCUUGGAUCUUGAUCUUCUGCUACUUGAAAUCUUUCCUCGCGUUUGUCAGUUGCUUCCAUCUCCGAGUUUUCUGCGAUCUUAGCCUGAGUUUCUUCACUGCUCACUGUUUCUUGCACCUUUUCUUCGUCGUCGCCAGCAGCUGGAACAUUCCUGUCCACGGCUUCGUCUUUCAAAGGUUCGUGUUCAAUCAGAUUUGUUGACUCCUCGGUGUCUCUAAUAUCUUGCUCGCCUUCUUCAGUCCGACCUUCCACUGGAUUUUGGAUUGCUUCGUCACCACCUUCGACUGCCUUGUCCUCCCUGGCUUCGAUAGCUCCCUCGACAUCUUGGACUGUCGACGGCAAGUCUUCUCCCCCUUUAUCAUCAGCUUCACUUUGCAGCGUAAUCUCCUCGUGUGGUUUCUCUCCGACUUCUUCAGCAGCUGUGUUCUCAAUUCCAUCUUGAAGCUCAAGUCCUCUGUCAGCCUCAUCUGUCUUUAAUAGCCCUUGACUUUCCAAAACCAGUUCGCCAGCAGACGCUUGAUCGUUUCUAGUCGUCUCUUUGCCAUCUGCGUCUAUUGCUGCUUGAUCCUCAGCUCCAUCCAACUGUUCUCCUGCUUGCUUAGUGACCACACUUUCAUCUGUUGCUGGUUCAACUUCCACAGCACUGCCUUCGUCUGUAUCCUUACUUUCCUGGAUGCUAUGGUCUUCGGUAACUCCAGAGUCCUCCAGCUUCUCAAUUUGUGCAUCUCUGCCUUCGUCAGCCUCAACUUUGGAUUUGGCGUCAUCGUCCAAAGUUGUCCCGCUUUCUUCUGUUGUCAUCGUUGGUAGUUCGUCUUCGGUUCUCUUGUCAGCAACGGUAUCUUUUGUUUCUUCCGAUGAUCCGGCAGCUAGUUCGUCGCCCUCGAUUUUGUCUAGAGGUACUGCAUCUUCAACGUUGGAACUUUCGACUUCCUGAUCAGCCUUGUCUUCGGUUGGUGUCCCGUCAACUUGGUCUUGUCCGUGCAAUGUGGUCUCAUUCUCUGCUUCGUGGACUUGCUCAGCCUCGCGUGGUGUUUCUUCAGCCGCUUCUUUCUUGUCUUGAGCAUCAGACUCUGGUGCAGCAGAUACUUGAUCAGUUCCAUGAUCCUCGCCUGCGUCUACUUCGUGAUCUCCACUGCUCGUCUUUUCUUCGACACUUUUGCUUCCAGAUUCCUCUGCGGCGUCUAUCUCCACCAUCGGUUCUGUUGCUAGUUGUUCCUCACUAACAGUUGCGCUUCCGUCUGGAACAGCUUCCUCGAGUAUCCCAGAUUUGUCAGCCAGCUCUUCUUUGGCUUGCACUUUACUUUCUGGAUCUUCUGCCACAUCGACCAGCUCAUCAGCUCGUUCUUCCGUCCCUGUUGUUGAUUCCACUGCAGCUUCAUCCUCUUUUUCCACUUCCCUGUUGUCAGCCAUUUGCGAUGAUGUUCCCUGCUCCUCACCAGGCUUUUCGUUUCCUAGCGACGCAGCAUCUGCUUCGUCCGAUGCUGCACUCAAUGCUUGAUCUGGGAUCUCCUUAGUGACACUCUCUGGUGUUGUUGCAACGUCCUCAUUGUGUCUACUGUCAACGGCUGCUGCUGCACCAGUAAUCUCCGACCCUGCUUCCUCAAUUCUCGCGUUUUCAUCGACCUUCUCUUUGCUUUCCCCAACUUUAUCCUCGCUCUGCGCAUCAUCGAUUUCCUGAGCCUCUGCUGGCUUUUCGGGAUUAUUGAGAUCUCCAGCCUUCUCAUCUUUCUCUUCGAUUGUGGUGUUCUUCAAGGGCCUGCUUUCCAGUUGUUCAGAGUCUGCUACUGGUGCUUCGUUGUCUGCGUUUCCUGCUGCUUCGACCCUGUCUUCCAGCUGAAGCUCCUCCACUUGUGAUUCUUCGUCGCUAUUCAGCUCACUGUUUAUUACGAGGUCCCGUGACUCCACCUCAAGUUGUUCUGCUGCUGGCUCUUCACGGUCCUUGGUUUCCUGCUUCUCUAAUAUCAUUUCCGACGUAGAUUCAUCCGUGUCUGCUUCAUUUGUUGCCGUCGCAGGGACUAGUUCAAUCUCCCUUGCUACUUCUGGUGUUUCUGCAGUAGUUUCCAUCUGGUCAGGCACUGUGUUUCCAGUCACGCCUUCAUCAUUCGCUGACUCGACGGCUUCAAUCUGCUCCAUCACCUUAGAAGCGUCCUCGCUCGGUACCGUUUCCUCGAUUUUCGCUUCAUCGGCUGCUACUUCCUUUUCCUCGGGAACUACUCCAAUCACCUUAGUCGUCUCGGCCUCCAUUUUCAUUUCAUCGUCCAAUGCUUCCUUUUCCUCAGUGCUGGCGACGUCCUCCUCGAUUUGAUUACUCGUCUCUAAAGCAGCUGCUGUCUCCUUGAUCUUCACGUCAUUGUCUGCUGUUCCCUGAAUCUUCUCCAUCGGUGCUUCUAGAGAAGUUUCCACCUGGCCUGUUGCUUCCAUUUUUACUACAACAUCGGCUGUCUCGUCCUCGUUUGUGGCAGCUGCUAUUUCUGAGAGAUCUUCUACCUGGCUAGGCACUGUUUCCUCGACCUUCUCUUCAUCUGCCGUCUCAGAAGUUGAUAUACACUCUGUGGCCGCUUCCACAGGAUCGAGUGGUUUCUCCUCGUUUGGGAUCGUUUUCUCAACUGGACUCGCAUCAGUUUGUUCCUGCUGGACGGUCAUUGAUUCCUCCUCUGAUUGUUGUUCCUCAGCAUUCAAUGAUGUCUCUUCGAGGCUUGGUGAUGGCUCGACUUCGACAGGGCUUCGUUCCGUAGUCUCUACUUCAGCGGGUUCUUCUGUAGUAAGUGGCUCGCUUGCUGCUUCUCCGGUUCCAGCUUCUUCCGAUCCAGCUUCCACUUUUGUAGCCUGCUCCAACGGGUUGAUAUCAGCUUCGGGAGUUUGAACUGGCGCUCCGAUUGUUGUAAGUUCUUCUGGGGCUAUAGGUUGUUCGUCAACUUUUGCCUCCUCAGGGUCAGCGGGCGUUGCUUCUUUUUCCUUCGCUGGAACAUCUUCUUCUGCUGUUGGAUUCUCCACCUCGGUCGGUUUUGGUUCUUCCUCCACAGGUGCGUUUACUUCCUCCGUUGACUUGUCAACUGGCGUUGUUUGAUCCACACUUUGUUCUGGUGUACUCUCUGCUGGUGCUUGCAUAAGAUCGGCUGCUUUCUCGGCCUCGUCUGGCGUUGCUUCCUCGACUGGAUUCUCAUCAGCUUGUCUUGGCUCUACGGCCGGCGAUAUUUCACUGUCUUCCAGCGUGGUUUCAAUCCUCUCUGCCUCGGCAUUCAGUGAAGUCUCUUCGAGGCUUGGUUGUGGCUCGGUUUCGGCAGGAAUUGGUUCGAGUUCCACGGUUUCGACCUUGGUGGUAUCACCUGUGACGAGUGGCUCGGUUUCGGCAGGAAUUGGUUCGGGUUCAACGGUUUCAGCCUUGGCGGGAUCACCUGAGAUGAGUGGCUUGGUUUCAGCAGGGAUUGGUUCGGGUUCCACGGUUUCAACCUUGGCGGGAUCACCUGUGAUGAGUGGCUCGCUUUCAGGGAUUGCGCUGUCUCCGUUUCCACCUUCUUCCGAUCUGGCUACUUCCAGUGUUGGUGCUUCAACAAGUUCCUCCAGCGGCUUGAUGUCAGCUUCGGGAGUUUCCACUGGCGCUCCGAUGCUUGUAAUAGAAUUUAACUCGUCUAUCAACGCAGCGUCUGUGCUGUCGCCAGCCUCUGGAAAUAUAACUUGUUCGUCGACUUUUUCCUCCUCUGUAGAAGCUGGUUGUUCUUCGGUGCUUGGUGUUUCGGUCAACUCUUCCCUGGGAGGUUUGGAAGUCUCGGCUGUUGUCUCAUCCACAUUUUGAUGAGUGGCUUCUGCAGAUGUCUCCACAGGUUCAACAACUUUCUCUUCCGGAGCUUCAACAAGCUCCUCCUCAGCUCGUUCUUCUGGAAAAGUUGUAGCAGCUUCUUCAUCCCCGCCCGUUGCUACAGCUGGUUUGUGUGUUUCAAGAGCUAUUUCCUGCUCCAUCACUUCAACUGGCUCGUCCAUAGCUGUUUCGUUCGGUUGAGACGGUUCUUGUGUCUCUACAGAAGUAUCCAGCUCGCCAGCCACUGUCUCUUCAGCUUUUACAUCGUUUGUUGUUUCCGGAAUCUCCUCCACCACCUUUGGUGCCUUUACUGUUUCUGAGAAAGUGUUUUCCUGGCCAGCCACUGUUUCCUCUUCAUCAACCAGCUCCUUAUUUUCUGUCACUGUUUCGCCAAGCACAGUAUUUCCUUCGUGAUCGGCUGCAACUUCAUCCACCACCAGUGUUUCUAUAGAAGUCUCCAAGUCACUAGGCAUUGUUUCCUUAGUACUAUUUUCAUGAUCGGCUGCUUCCAUCUCCUUUGGUGUUUCUAAAGAUGCUUGCACGUCAGUUUCCUCGACCUGUUCUUUACUAUCGGAUGUUGUUUCCUUCUCGUCAGCGAUGGCAGUCUGAUCAGACACUGUUUCCUUAACUCCAUCGUCCACUGGUUCCGUUUCCUCCGUGCCUGCAACGACUGCUGGUGUCUCAACACUCGUUCCUGUACCAUCCUCUGUUUUCUUUUCCUCGUUGCUAGCGUCGUUUUCAUGCGGAGUAACUUCUUCAGAAACUGUUUCUAAAGAAGUUUCUACCGCGUCCGAGAGUGUUUUGUCAUUCGUUUCGUCAUUAUUCCCUUGUUCCUUCUCAGUGUUCCUGGCUCCACUUUCCUCCAUCGCUUCCACCUUAACAUCUUCAUCAGGAACAGUAAGCUCGCGUUCCCCAUCAGGCAAGCUUUGACGCUCAAUAUCCUCUGUUAUUUCAGCUACCGUAUCCACGAUGUCAUCUCCUGCUGUGCCUUCAGUCGCUGAAUCUUCUUGGCCAUGAUCUCCAGAGUUUCUUGCUGCAUCAACAGUUACUGCUUCUUCAACCAUGUCCGACUUUUCUUGCAAAUCACUUCCGUCGCUUGUCGCUGGAAUCGAGGCCAAAGUAUCAACAUCAGCUGCUGCUCCAACUUCUUCUUUCGCACUCGAGUUCUCCGGAUUACCUCCCACUUCCAAUGACGAUGUCCCUUCGGCUACUGUUUCAUUCUCAUGUUGACUACUCUGUUCCUCGAUCUGAUGUUCCAAAUGACUUCCAGGGGACUUCUCUUCGUCAGGGAUCUGGGCAUCACUUUCUGCACGAGGUGCUGCUUGUUCGCUUGUUCCAACUUCGAUGCCACCUUUUCCACUAUCGUGAAAACUUUCAUCAGAAGUGUUCCUGUUCUCAGAUUCCCCGACGACUGAUCCGCUUUCCUCUUCAGUUUUCGCUGAAUUAUCAACCUCGGCCAGACUUGGUUCGUCUAACUUGAGUUGAUCCUUGCUUUGCUGUGGAUCUGUUUCUUCCAGUGACUCUUGUCCACUCCCAUUUUUCGUUACCUCUGCUACUCGAUCCUCGGCUUCUAGCUUACUUCCAAGAGUCUGAUCUUCGAGAAGAACCUUACCAUCAAGAUCUUCGCUUGCUACGUCCGUUUGUGAACUUGCCUUGUCUUCGUCGACACGAUCUUUCACAACCUCUUGUACCCCGUGCUCGACUGGAGCAGGUUCCUCGACUGGGUUCAUCUCAGCUCCUUCUCCGUCAUCUUUACUUGCAAUUAACGCUUGACCACCAUUUUCUUCGACUUUAUCCACAAGUUUCUUCUCGUCCAGAGGUUCCACUAAAACAGCCGCCGGAUUCUCUUCCUCAGACUUACCAUCUUCGACAGGCUUUGAUUCUUUUUCUCCAGAUCUAACGCUUAAGUCCUUUUUACUCUGAUCACUGUCUACUCCACUCUUCUCCUUAUCCAAAAAACUAACGCCGCUCAAAGAACUAUUCUCACUCUUGCUUUCUAAAGCUAAGCCUUCGAUGGCGAUGCUCUCUUCGGCAGCCUACGAGAAGAAUGCGAUAGAAAAAUCAAAAUCUUGCCACUAAAAUCUUAUGCUAAAGAUCUCUAAGCCAUACCUGGAUCGCGUCGCUAUUUACUUCCGCAUCAUCUAGGCCCAUGGCAGAGGUAUUCGAUCAAAAACAGCACCACGGAUCGAUCGAUCCUCCAAUGAAAGAACAGAUUCCGCCUCUGCUCCAAAAAUCAAGCCCGGGAUCGCAAAGAUCGAACCGAAACUCGAUCGAUCGCUCGCCAGGCGCCAAGGAAAACCUAUCUAGAUCCACUGAGAAGAAAUAAUCGCCCUAAAAUCUCAUCAUAUAUCCACAUACACCGCCAACGUCUUGUCUCCUACAAUAUUCCUUCCAGAAAG